CUUCAAUUAUGCUGACCAUUUACAGGAGGCAGGAAAGCUUGAUUCCUUUAUGGAGAAGCGACGCAAGAAGAAUGCGUCCAAAGAUCAUCGGUUCAUGCCAUACCGAAGGGAUGGGGGUGCUGCAUAACAAUGCCCCCGAAGCCGCUUUUCGGUUGAUUCGGUCUUGGUCUAUUUUGUGCUCACAGGGUUGUACCAGCGCUCUCUACUAAUCUUGUUGUUGCCCUAGUGUCCCAGAUAUUCACCAGCAACCAUGAGUUGAAGUUAAUCCAUGGACCAUAUAUUUAUAGUUGAGCUCUGGUUGCUGGUAGCAACAUGCAAUUGUAAACCCAAACCAUGGAUAUGAUAUUUUGUUUCAUCUAGUGCUUUAAUUAAUGCCGGUCUUUCUGUGUAAUCAAAGAGUAAAAUACACUUGUUUGUUGCAACUGAACAAUAUAUUCAUUUUGUUAGUUUCCUUGCCGACGUACAGCUGGAAGCACCAACUAUUAAACACUUGGCGAUGGCCGCCACGACGCCCGUUGCAGAUUGCCCCAACACAUGGAAACAGAUAACUUUAACUACGAACUCAGUUCAUUUUAUAUCAUGAUGAAAAUGCUGAUUAGUAACAGUUGGCUGAACUACCAUCACCUUUUGAUUAUAAUAAUGUAUCCACCCGGCCAAUAUAGAUCAAGCUGACACAAAAACAAUUGAGAUAGAUAACCAGAAGCGGCUCAAUCAUUCAUUCAGGCUAGCUACUAGUAGUAGAUUUGUUCUGGAUGGAAGUGCUCUGCAUAGAUAAGAUGUUGCUAGAUCAGACCACCGUUGGCUGACGUAUUAUUGAUUUUCCAUGGCAGUAGUAGGUACGGUGGCUCUUGUCUCCACGACAAUCCUAUCCAGCAUCUAUGCAUGUCAAACCUCAUUGAAUUACUCAGAAAAGGAGCCCAUUCGCUAGAACUGCACACAAAAUGACAGGACAAAGUGAGGAUGUAGAACGUAUUGUACUACUUAGGAGGCAAGAGCAACUCCAACAGUUUGGCUGAAAAUCAUUGAGAUGCAGAGGAAGAAAAAGAGGGGUUCCUUCAUUUUCCACGGGAUGUAGUUGCGAGACGGCGACGUGCCUUGGAUCCUCAUGGAAAGUCCCAUGAACGCUCUAAUCAUCCACGUCGCUGUCUGCUUUCAUUGUUUGAUAGCAGUACAUUGUGCGUACCACGAGCUUAGCGCAGGCGUUAAGGGCUUUGCUCGGAAAGCGACGUGGUUUCUUCAGUUUACAUCAGUUUUAAGGCGAGGAAAGGCCAAAGUAAACAACGGUUGGUUGGAACGUAAGAACACCUGGUUCUAGUUGCUCGAUAGCUUCUUGACGAGGCGGCGUUUUUUCUCUAGAACUCUUCAAAUAACUUCGGAGCCGGAUGUGUAGUGCCAAAAACAAUCUUAUACUUCCUCCGUCCUAAAAUAAAUGUCUUAAGCUUAAUACAAUUUUAUAUUAGAAUUAGUAUAAAGUUAAGACAAUUAUUUUGAUACAGGAAAAAUAUUAUGAAUAGGUCAUUAACGUUAAAAAUAUGGGUGUGGCUAAGUCUCAGUCGACUGAGAUUUAACCAAGUCUCAGUCAAGUGACAUAACAUACAAGACAGAAAAAUAAAAAAUUGAAAAGAAAACUUUGCAUGGAUCUUAAUGUAAGAUCUCACGGAUAUAGCAUCGACCGAGACUUAACGAAGUCUCAGUCGACUGAGACUUAGCAAGACUGUAAAAAUAUUUAUAUAUUAUGGAACAGAGGUAUUUAUAAUUAUGUCUUUGUUAUUAGAGAUAAUAAGAGAACAAAACCCCCUUCUCGGUGUCGCUUUGUUAGCUAGUCUGGGCAUCUGUAGAUUGUUUCUGACGGAAGGCGUGGCACGAUUUUGUGUCCCAUGUAUCGGCGCCUUUCUACUUUUCUUUCAAUACAAGUCUCGUGUUAGGUUCCUGGAAAUAGAGGGGAUGAUGAUAAGUCGAAAAGUAUUUGCUCUGUUGAGUUGGGCAACGCUUGAAAGUUUGGCUCCACAGGACAACUUUGUUUAUCUCGGAAAGCGGCAGUGAAUCUACUUUUUUAUGCUUAGCGAAAAUCAUAUUUCUCAAGCUUUAGAAAAUUGUGAGAAAAGAGACACAUUGGCAGUGGUGGAGUUUCAUCGGAUCAACCUGGGCCAUGCUCUCCAUCCCCAUCCCAGCUCACAAGGAAAACUUAUACAUAUUCCUUUGUAUUAGACCUAUUUCCACUGAAAAGUAGGUGAAAUAGUUAUGUUUGCCCCGUCUAACUCACCCCUUCCCCAUCACAUAUAUUUGGCUCAAGCUCCGCCACCGCACAUUGGUGUUGAAAAAAAAAUUGGUUUUAAAAACUUCAGAAACUAAGUCCCAUACUGGCUUUUCAGAUAAAACACCAUCCAUCAUAGUAAAAUGUGUCAGAGUUAUAUUUAUGGUGGCUUUUGGCCUUUUUCAUUCUCAUCUUUGGCCUCCUUGUACAUGUAUAUAUAUAUGACUAGGAAAAAUGUCCGUGCGUUGCCACGGGUUGGACAAGAAAUAGUUGAAGGGGGUUGCACGGAAGGCUUUCGUCGAGUGCAUUUUUUCUGACUUUGAAGCAUAUUCUUGAGAGUUCAGUUACUAAUUUAAGAGAUGACAUAAAAGCAAACAUGAUGUUUUUUGUGUGACUUCAGUAUGACAUUAUAGAUCGGACAAUCAAUAUAUAAUGACAACACAUAUCUCGCUCGUAAAUUAACGAUCAUAUUGGUAAUAAAAGUAUUAUACACAUAACACUUAUGUUGAGUUAAUAGUAUCACACAAUGAAAAUGUCGUAUACUUCACCUAGCGUCCAGAAAUAUUAUGUGUGUGCGCUAAUCGUAAAGCCUUUGUCAUAUAGAUGCAUUAACUCAACAUAAUGGUUGCCAUGGUCCUCUGCACCACCUUCAAUGUGACCAUCUUCAACAACAUCAAGCAUGUCAUCUUCUUUCUAAUUCAAAACGAUAACUUAUUAAGAACAACUAAAGACUAUAUGGACAUGACAUAUAAAUGUGUAUAUUUUUACGAUGAUGGUUUACUUAUGCACUCGUAUAAAUCGGGAUCAACGACGCCAUGCGAUAAUUUAUGUAUUCAUUUUAUGGGGCUUCUAGUCAUAUAUGUUUUCGUCGUUUGUGUCCUAACCUUUGUAGUUAGUACAAGUACAUAAAAACAUAAACAAAUGCAAAUCAAACUUCAAAAAAAGUAGAACCAAAAGCAAUGCAUGCAUGAUGAGAAUCAAGCGAUUUGAUGGGUAAAGGAGCGUGUCCCUCCUGAGUCGUUCUUUUGAUCUGGUUGAGAGUACACGUUGCUAAUAUAAUCCUAUUUUAUGAGAAAAAUGCUUGUUUUCACAUCCAUCACCCAUGGUUCUGCAAGUACAAGUCCGCACCCAUGGUUCUGCGUGCAUCGUGCACCUCUGCUUUCUUUCUUCAAGGCCGUUCCUGCUUCGUAGUAGGCUGUUCUUCAAGGGCUGCUCUUUUUAUUCGAUUUGCAGUCUUGAGUCACUUGUAAAUCAACGACGCUGCCAGUUGUGCUAAUCCGUAGGCUGUUCUUCAAGGGCUGUCCUUUUUAUUGGGUUUGCAGUCUUGAGUCACUUGUAAAUCAACGACGCUGCCUGUUGUGCUAAUCAAAUUUCGGUCAGUUUAUUCCUUUGCUUCCUAUUUCCACUUGGGAUUUGUUCUGUUCAUGUCCUUUUCUUGUUGACUUUUGAUGCAUAGAGGUCAGCGACGUAUAAAAAUUGAUGUUGUUGGGUGUAGAGGAGCGAUGUGGGACUAUUACUAAGAUAACAUCUUUUUUUUGAGAAUCAGAUAACAAUCUUGUUUAACAACACAAGUGUACCCGAUUUGGCUGUAGUCUUUUACAUGGAGGGCAUGGUCGCAAUGCAGCAGUCGCAGCACGUAGCACAGCCGUCGCCGCCCCCGUGCUCUCCUACGAGCGGCGCCGCCGUCCCUCGCCUUGCUCACGUGGGCUGUAGGGAAUGACCGCCGCGUUGCGCCGACGCUCCCGUCCUCCCCUGGGACCAACGCCUCUAUCCUCGCCUGGGCCCGGCCGUUGACCCUGCUCAAAGCAGAGGCCGCUCGAAGCCGAGCUGCCAGCGCGCCAGAGACCCGCCGCCGACGGUGAGAGGAGGAAAGGAGGGGGUAGGGGAGGGGGAGGAGGAGGAGGGGCGGCAGACUAAUCCACGCGCGAGGGGAGGAGGAGGGGGAGGGGAGGUGGAGGAGGAGCGCCGGAACGCGCCGGAGCGAAGUUGNNNNNNNNNNNNNNNNNNNNNNNNNNNNNNNNNNNNNNNNNNNNNNNNNNNNNNNNNNNNNNNNNNNNNNNNNNNNNNNNNNNNNNNNNNNNNNNNNNNNNNNNNNNNNNNNNNNNNNNNNNNNNNNNNNNNNNNNNNNNNNNNNNNNNNNNNNNNNNNNNNNNNNNNNNNNNNNNNNNNNNNNNNNNNNNNNNNNNNNNNNNNNNNNNNNNNNNNNNNNNNNNNNNNNNNNNNNNNNNNNNNNNNNNNNNNNNNNNNNNNNNNNNNNNNNNNNNNNNNNNNNNNNNNNNNNNNNNNNNNNNNNNNNNNNNNNNNNNNNNNNNNNNNNNNNNNNNNNNNNNNNNNNNNNNNNNNNNNNNNNNNNNNNNNNNNNNNNNNNNNNNNNNNNNNNNNNNNNNNNNNNNNNNNNNNNNNNNNNNNNNNNNNNNNNNNNNNNNNNNNNNNNNNNNNNNNNNNNNNNNNNNNNNNNNNNNNNNNNNNNNNNNNNNNNNNNNNNNNNNNNNNNNNNNNNNNNNNNNNNNNNNNNNNNNNNNNNNNNNNNNNNNNNNNNNNNNNNNNNNNNNNNNNNNNNNNNNNNNNNNNNNNNNNNNNNNNNNNNNNNNNNNNNNNNNNNNNNNNNNNNNNNNNNNNNNNNNNNNNNNNNNNNNNNNNNNNNNNNNNNNNNNNNNNNNNNNNNNNNNNNNNNNNNNNNNNNNNNNNNNNNNNNNNNNNNNNNNNNNNNNNNNNNNNNNNNNNNNNNNNNNNNNNNNNNNNNNNNNNNNNNNNNNNNNNNNNNNNNNNNNNNNNNNNNNNNNNNNNNNNNNNNNNNNNNNNNNNNNNNNNNNNNNNNNNNNNNNNNNNNNNNNNNNNNNNNNNNNNNNNNNNNNNNNNNNNNNNNNNNNNNNNAAUAUAAAACAUAUUCACGAUUUUUAGUAAAUGUUCUCAAUUUUAAAAUUGUUCCCAUAUUUGUAAAAUUGUUCGCGAAAGAUCUAAUGUAUGUAGUUAAACAUUAAUGUUUCUAAAUCUUUGUGACAAUAUACGUGUGUGAAUUUUGAAGAAUUAACUGUUGGAUGGAUCGAAUUAUUAUUGUUUGUUUUCUAAAAAAAUGUCUUGAAAUUCAGAAUAAAUCUUUGAGUUACCAAGAUUUUUGACAACCAUGAUAUAUAUUUUUUGAAAAUGUAAAAAAUGUUUCAACUUAUGAAUAAAUUUUAAAAAAGAAACAUUUUCUUGCAUUUAUGCAUAAAAUUUGUAAAUCAAGCGAUGAUAUUUGAACAUAAUAUGAUCACCAUCAUUGGAGAUUGUGUUUUUUUCUUCCAUGACAACGCACGGACCAUUUUGCUAGUACAAGCUGCACAUAUUCAUAAUAUGUAUAUAGAUGGCUUUUGUCCCAGAUAAUACAAGCUGCACAUAUUCAUAAUAUGGUAACAGAGCUUAGGUUCCUCUUGGAGGCCGCAACUCGUGUUCGAUCUGAUUUUUUUUCGGAUCCAAAUUCAUGCUUCCGCUGCCGACCGACCGACGCUAUUCCUUGCUUCCCACUGCUCCCUUCUUCCCCUGAACGCUGCUGCUCCUCCUCACUGCUGCUGCUCCUUGUGUUUUUUCUGCUGCAAGUCCGUCUAUUCCACUGCCGCAUACCUAAGUUUCAUGUUGUGCAGUUGUCCGUCCAACUGCCUAGGCCGGCUGAUCAACUCCAGCCGCGAUUCUCGCCACCGACCACCAGUUUCUAGACGCCCCGCCGCUGCACUUCUUCCUCUCCUCCUCCGCGGAAACCUAUAUCUGUUGAAAAUAUGCCUUAGACUCAAUAAUAAAAUAGUUAUUAUUAUAUUUUCUGUUUUAAAAUAAUCGUUUAUUAUCCAUGUUAAAAUUAUAUUAAAUAGAAAACGUAAAUACAUGUGUGGAUACAUAGACAAAACAAUGUUCCUAGUCAGCCUCUAGCUGACUAGCUCGUCGAUCAAAGGUGGUUAAGGUUUUUCUAACGAUAGACAAGUAUUGUCACUUGAUAACGCGAUCACAUCAUUAGAAGAACGAUGUGAUGGACAAGACCCAAACUAUAAACUUAGCAUUGGAUCGUGUUAUUUUAUUGGUAUUGUUUUCUGCAUGUCAAGUAUAUAUUCCUAUGAUCAUGAGAUCAUGUAACUCAUUGACAUUGGAGGAAUGUCUUGUAUGUAUCAAACGUCGCAACGUAACUGUGUGACUAUAAAUGUGCUCUACAGGUAUCUCCGAAGGUGUCCGUUGAGUUAGCAUGGAUCAAGACUGGAAUUUGUCACUCCGUAUAACAGAGAGGUAUCUCGGGACCCACUCGAUAAUACAACAUCAUAAACAAGCCUUGCGAGCAAUGUGACUAAAGAGUUAGCCACGCGAUAUUGUAUUACAGAAUGAGUAAAGAGACUUGCCGAUAACGAGAUUAAAAUAGAUAUGAAGAUACAUAGUUCGGUGAAGAUACAUAGAGCGUUGACCGGAGAGUGUCUCGAUCAUGUCUACAUAGUUCUCAAACCCGCAGGUUCUGCACACUUAAGGUUCGGUGAUGUUGCGGUAUAGUUGAAUUAUUGAUGUUGUUAACCGAAGGUUGUUCGGAGUCCCGGAUGAGAUCCAGGAAGUCACGAGGGUUUCCGGAAUGGCCUAGAGAUGAAGAUUGAUAUAUAGGAAGUAUCCAUUUGGCUUCCGGAAGGUUUUUAGGCAUUACCGACAAAGUAUCAGGAGUGACGAAUGGGUUCUGUAGUUCUACCGGGAGAUGCCAUCCGUUCAACGCUAGAUCGGGACGGAGUUCGUGGGACAACUUGCGAUUUGAAUCGCGGAGACUUUCGACUACAUCAACCGCGUUUCUUAACGCUUUCCAGUUGGCGAUCUACAAGGGUAUGUGGAUCCAAUUUCCCCUAUCGUAGAUGAUCAUCACCAUGGAUAGGUCUUUCGUGUGCGUAGGAAAGUUUUUCUUUCCCAUGCAACGUUUCCCAACAGUGGCAUCAUGAUCUAGGUUAAUGCGUAGAUGAUAUCUUGAGUAGAACACAAAAGAGUUUAUGGGCAUUGAUGUUAAAUUUGUUGUCCUCCUUAAUCUUUUCUUGAUUCGGCGGUAUUGUUGGAUUGAAGCGGCCCAGACCAACAUUACUCGCACGCUUACGAGAGACUGGUUUCAUCGACUAACAUGCAACUUGUUGCAUAAAGAUGACUGGCGGGUGUGUGUUUCUUCAACUUUAGUUGAAUCAGAUUUGACCGAGGCGGUCCUUGGAGAAGGUUAAAUAGCAAUUUGCAUAUCACCGUUGCGGCUUUGCGUAAGUAAGAUGCGAUCAUACUAGAUACCCAUAACAGCCACGUAAAAUUUGCAACAACAAAUUAGAGGACGUCUAACUUGUUCUUGCAGGGUAUGCAUGUGAUGUGAUAUGGCCACACACAUGCUGUGAUAUAUUGGAUGUAUGAAAUGAUCAUGUUGUAAUAGUUAAAUAUCGACUUGCACGUCGAUGCUACGGCAACCGGCAGGAGCCAUAGGGUUAUCUUUAAUUAUUUUGCGCUUGGUGAUGCUUUGCUUUAUCGCUAUAUCAUGUCACUUAUGAUUUGCAUGUGAUGUUAAUCCUUUUAUGCACCUUGUUUUGCUUAGGACGACGGUAACAUUAUAAGGUAAUCCCUCACUAAAAUUUCAAGAUAAAAUUGUGUUCUCCCCGACUGUGCACCGUUGUGACAGUUCGUCGUUUCGAGACACCACAUGAUGAUCGGGUGUGAUGGACUCAACAUUCAUAUAAAACGGGUGCAAAACAGUUGCACAGGCGGAACACUCGGGUUAAACUUGACGAGCCUAGCAUGUACAAACAUGGCCUCGGAACACAGGAGACCGAAAGGUCGAGCAUGAGUCAUAUAGUGGAUAUGACCAACAUGGAGAUGUUCACCAUUGAAGCUAAACUCAACUAACGUGAUGAUAGGACUUGAGUUAGUGAAUUUGGGUCAUGUGACACUCGAAUGACUAGAGGAAUGUCAAUUUGAGUGAGAGUUUAUUAGUAAUAUGAUUAGCUAAACUCAAUUAUCUUGAACAUAGUAUAAGUAAUCUUUGCAAAAUUUUAUGUUGUAGAUCAAUGGCUUGCGCAGUAGCAACCCUGAAUUUCAAUGCGUUCCUAGAGAAAGCUAAGCUGAAAAAUGAUGGAAGCAACUUUGUUGACUAGGCUCGUAAUAUGAGGGUUAUCCUCACGGCUGCCCAAAAGCAAUAUGUUCUUGAUGCACCGUUGGGUGAUGCACCCCCCGAAACGGCGUUGCCAGAAGUUAUUAACGUCUGGCAGACGCGCAAGGAUGACUACUCAUUAGUUCAAUGUGUAAUUUUCUAUGGCUUAGAACCGGGACUUCAAAGACGUUUUGAACGUCAUGGACCAUAUGAGAUGUUUCAGGAGUUGAAGUUUAUCUUUGAGAAGAAUGCUCGGAUCGAGAGGUAUGAGACCUCCAAUAAAUUCUAUGCUUGCAAAAUGGAGGAGAAUAGGUUUGUGAGUGAACAUGUGCUCAGAAUGUCUGGUACUCUAACCGUCUGGCUGAGCUGGGAAUUGCUCUCCCACCAGAGGCUAUCACUGCGAGAGUUCUUCAAUCACUGGCACCUAGCUACAAAGGCUUUGUGUUGAACUAUAAUAUGCAAGGGAUGAAUAAGUCACUCGCCGAGCUGUUUGCGAUGCUGAAAGUCGCAGAGUCAGAAAUCCAGAAACAACAUCAAGUGUUGAUGGUCAAUAAGACCAACAGUUUCAAGAAAAAUGGCAAGGUAAAGAAGAGUGGCAACGCUGUUGCCCCUCCGACAAAGAAACCCAAGUCUCGACCCAAGCCGGAGACUGAGUGUUAUCAUUGCAAGGGGACUGGGCAUUGGAAGCGGAACUACCCCAAGUAUCUGGUCGAUAAGAAGGUGGCCAAUGCCAAACAAGGUAUAUUUGAUAUACAUGUUAUUUAUGUGUAACUCACGAGCUCUCAUAGUAGUGCCUGGGUAUUUGAUACUGGUUCUAUUGCUCACAUUUGCAACUCGAAACAGGAACUGGGGAAUAAACGAAGGCUGGCAAAGGAUGAAGUGACGAUGCGCGUGGGAAAUGGUUCCAAGGUUGAUGCGAUCGCUGUCGGCAUGAUCUCACUUCACUUACCAUCGGGAUUAGUAAACCUGAAUAAAUGUUAUUUAAUGUGUGCGUUAAGCAUGAACAUUAUAUCUGGAUCUUGUUUAUUGUGAGACGGUUACUCAUUUAAGUCAUAGAAUAAUGGUUGUUCUAUUUAUAUGAGUAACAUCUUUUAUGGUCAUGCACCCACUGUGAGGGGUUUGUUCCUGUUGGAUCUCGAUAGUGAUGAAACUCAUAUACAUAACACUGAGACCAAAAGAUGCAGAGUUAAUAAUGAUAGCGCCACUUUCUUGUGGCAUUGCCGCUUGCUACUUCUUGAGCUUGCGUUGGUUUUCCCUUGAAGAGGAAAGGGUGAUGCAGCAAACUAGAUAAGUAUUUCCUUAGUUUGUUGAGAACCAAGGUAUCAAUCCAGUAGGAGGAACAAUUAAACACUUGCACCCAACGCUAAAAAGGGGUUGUCACCCUUCACGGUUAUUUGCAAGGAUGAGAUUUGAUAGAGAUAGGUAUAAAUAUUGCUAGAACUAAAAGUAUAUAAAUGGCAGCAAUAUAUUUUUGGUAUUUUUGGUUUAUAGAUAUAAAAGUAUAAUAUGUAAAACAGACCCCGGGGCCAUAGGUUUCACUAAAGGCUUCUCUCAUGAAGGAAAUUAAUACGGUGGGUGAAUAAAUUACUGUCGUGCAAUUGAUAAAAAAGCGAAUAAUUAUAAAGAUAUCCAAGGCAAUGAUUAUGCAUAUAGGCAUCACGUCCGUGUCAAGUAGACCGAAACGAUUCUUCAUCUACUACUAUUACACCACACAUUGAUCGACUCCUGCCUGCAUCUAGAGUAUUAAGUUCAUAAAGAACAGAGUAACACAUUAGGUAAGAUGACAUUAUGUAGAGGGAUAUACUCAAGCAAUAUGAUGAAAACCCCAUCUUUUUAUCCUCGAUGGCAACAAUGCAAUACGUGCCUCGCUACCCCUACUUUGUCACUGGGUGAGGACACCGCAAGAUUGAAUCCAAAACUAAGCACUUCUCCCAUUGUAAGAAUUACCAAUCUAGUUGGCCAAACCAAACCAAUAACUCGAAGAGACUUGCUAAGAUAUGAAAUCAUGCAUAUAAGAAUUCAGAAAAGAUUCAAAUAAUAUUCAUAGAUAAUCUGAACAUAAACCCAUAAUUCAUCGGAUCUCGACAAACACACCGCAAAAGAGUAUUACAUCGGAUAGAUCUCCAUGAAGAUCAUGAAGAACAUGGUUUUGAAGAACAAAGAGAGAGAAGAAGCCAUCUAGCUUCUAGUUAUGGGCCCGUAGGUCUGUGGUGAACUACUCACGCAUCAUCAGUGAGGCAAUGGAGUUGGUGUAGAUGCUCUUCGUGAUCGAUUCCUCCUCUGAGAGAUUAUCGGAUAAGGCUCCCAGAUUGGAUCUCACGGGAACAGAGGCUCCCAGCGGCGGAAAAGUAUUUUUUUUGGUGUCGUUCUGGUAUUGGGGGAAUAUUUGGGAAUUUAUAGGAUGAAGAUUAGGGUUAGGAGGCCUGAAGGGGCCCACAAGCUAGGGGCGCCCCCCUAGGGCAUGCCCUACGGGCUUGUCAUCUCCGGCAAGUCUCCUGCCCCUAAUUCAACAUAAUACACGGGUACAUGCUGAUGGUGUUGGUCCCAAAUGGGCAGACUAUGGGUCUACCACGGGGAAACUCGUGGUUUUGUUUUACUCAUAGAAUUUCCCAUCCGGUCAUAUCCUGAGACGAGAUAUGCGACUUCUAUCGGAUUUGUCGACACGUCGAGCGGUCUUACUCGAUCUGUUUUACCCUUCUAGAAUGUCUUGUGCACCAGGAUUACGAGGAUACUUUGGGCUAUCUCGAGGUUGAAGUUUUCCAUGCACUUUGUGGCUAGUUUGUGAUUGAUGAGUUGGAGCAUCCCUGUAGGGUUAAAUAUUUCUCAAAGUCGUGUCCGCGGUUAUGUGGCAACUUGAAAAUUGUUUAACACCCGGUUAUAGCAAACUUGAAGUAAACACAACUAAAAUACACCAACCGUGUGUGUAACCGUGGUCGUCUAUUUUUGAGGGAGUUCAGAAAAAGAACAUGGUGGGGUUAUGAUUGACUCGUAAGUAGGUGUUCAGGAUCACUUCUUGAUCAUUAGUAGUUCACGUCCAUUUAUGCAUAGAUCACUCUUCUUAUUCUUGUACUCGUAAGUUAGCUACAUAUUCAAAUGCUUAGUGCUUGCUGCAGCCUCACCACUUAAUCAUAACUCACCCAUUAAGCUUUGCUAGUAUUGAUACCUUUGGAAAUGAGAUGGUAGAGUCCUCAUGGCUCACAGAUUACUACCAUAACAGUUGCAGGUACAUGUAAUACGAUGUUUUGACGUUAGCAUGAUUAUUGUUCUAUUUGGAAUGUCUUCUUCUUCUUUGGUCAUAGGACGGGUUCCUGGCUGGUAGCCUGGGAUUAGCAAGGAUGGAUGCCACUUUUAUCAUUUGAUUUCAUUCGUAGUCGGAUCCUACUUUUAUGUAUGAUGACUGGUGUGGAUGUUUGUAUUGACAUGAUUAUGAUUUAGCUUGUGGCGAGUGUAAGUCAAUUCCAUAUACUCAUCUCCUCUUUACAUGUACUUGUAACGAUAUCCAUUCUUACGAAACGACGAGAUGCACUUAUAUCCCUAUCAGGGCCCUCGAGCCCAGAUGAGGAUAGUACUGCAUAUUCGGUGUUACAAGUGACACAUGCGUUGUCUGUUGUCAUUGGUGUGCCUUUGCCUCACUGCCCAUUAACUGUUGACAGUAUGCCCUAUGUGGAUCUUGCUUCACAUUUAUAUCGUCCUUUGGUGCUUGGUGCUCGACCGGAUGAGGUGUUUUUCACUCGUUGUGUUGGUCGUUCUUCAACGGCUCCUCUUGCAGCUUCGCUAUGCGGUAGUGACCACUCUACGUCGACCUCUCUCACGGCUUCCACUGGUGGUGGCGACUGCUCAUCAUCGACACAUGUUUCUACCCUGACAUCUUCCAUGUGUCCCUGUUUGCACGUGAGAUUGCGCAGCUGUGAUGCAUGGUUGAUGCUUGGGAUUCUUCACCGACGGCUUUCACAGGUUCUGUGACUGAUCUUCUCACAAUGAUAAACCUUCUUCUACACAUUCAGACACAACCCAUGGCUUGUUGAUAGUGGAGCAUAUUUUCAUAUAUCUUAUGAUUCUUCCACUUUGACCUCCGUUUGACCUGUCGAAUCUCUCGUUUGUGUUCUUACGGCUGAUGGCACUCCCCUCCGUGUAGCUAGUCGAGGCACUCUUAGCACAUCUUCAUUUCAUGUUCCCUCUGUAGCUCAUGUUCCUCAACUUACCGUGCAACUCAUAUCUGGUGGUCAGAUUGUUAACUCUAGUUGUAGUGUCAUUCUUGACUUUGAUUCAUGUUCUGAUCAGGAUCACCGCACGGGCGCUCUGCUUGGUGUUGGCCCUCAACGUUGUGAUGGACUCUCGGAGUUUGACUGGCUUCAUCUUUCCCCCGCUGCCACCGUUGCUAGUCUCACAGCCUCGUUUCUGCAUCUACCAGCUCUUUUCAGCAGUGGCCUCAUCGUCUUGGUCAUUUAUGUGGUUCUCGUCUUUCGUAUUUGGUUCACCAUGGUGUUUUGGGGUCUAUUUGUGGUAACACUUCAUUGGAUUGUCUUGGUUGUAGGCUUGGAAAGUAGAUUCAGCCACCCUAUCCUCACAGUGAGUCAGUGUCCAGGCGCCCUAUUGACCUUGUUCACUUUCAUGUUUGGGGUCCGGCUCCCUUCACUUCGAAAGGGGGGUUAUUGCUACUAUAUUAUCUUUAACAUAGCCUUCUGAAAUAAAAACUAUAACAUAGCAACAAUCCGACAGGGUCACAACACAACAAGACCCAUCCAUAAAUGAAAAUAGGAUCGUGCUACGUGUCUGCCAAUCGAUCUUUUCCAAAGAUCGUUCGGGCCACGAGUGGUUCAAUCAUAAUACCCUUCUUGCAAACCUUCAUUGCAACAAGACCUUUGUUAUCUCCAACUUGCGGUCGUGCCCAUCAGCAUUGCAAGUUUCAAUGCUAGAGCCCCCUACAGGUUAUGUAUUAUGCCCAUCCACCCACUAGAAAUAAUGGGUCACAUUGGCCAUGAGAUGUUGGACUACUGAAGCCCAAUUACUGUCCAACACUCCCCUCCAAGAUGAGUGAUGGAUAUCUAUCAUUCACUUCUUGACACGAGCUCACUUACAAUCCUUAACAACCAUACCCGUUUUUUAUUGACAUAGUUGACCUUGAUGAUUCUAGCAUACAAUUUCUUAUUUACAGAGAAUUUUUGAUCUCAACGCGCUUUGUCCUAUCAUGUUGGACCAGACUAUUGCUACGCAAAUUACUGACUUCGUUAUCACACCAUACGUUCAAGUGUCCUUCCUUUAACACCUUCAACUCACUCAAAAGGUUUCUCACCCAUAGCAUCCCACUUAAUCCUUAAUAAAUGGCUUUAUACUUUGCUUUAGUAGUUGACCUUGUUACUAUUGUUUUUUUUUCUUCUCCGCGAUACCAAGUUCCCUCCAACAAUGCAUAAUAACAUGAAGUUGACCUUCUAUCAUCUAAACAACUUGCCGAGUCAGCAUCACUAUAACCGUCAACUAUUAGAUGUCCAUUUGCUUUAAACCAUAACCCUUUUUGUGGAGUUUUUUUAAACAUCUUUGGAUUCAAAAUACCAUCCAUAUAUAUACUUCUUGGUGCAUGCAUGUAUAUGCUCACUAUGCUAACUCUAUACGCAAUAUUUUCUCUUGUGUGACACAAGUAUAACGGUUGUCCCAUCGGUCUCUCAUAUCUUCCUUGUCUACAAGUUUGCCACACCGAGCUCUUAUUUUGUGAUAAUGAUCAAUGGGUGUUGGAGCUGCAUGGCACUCGAUCAUCCUCAUAUCACUGAGUAGGUCUUAGUUAUACUUUAUUGGAAUUUCCAAGAAAGUAUCCAAGUUGACCAAGUUUUUUUUAACUUCAAACACUUUUCUUAAACAACUCUUCACCCUUGUUGUUUCUGAUGGAUCAUCUCUGUGAUUUUGGUACCGUCCACAUAGACUGAUUGUGAUCUUCUGACUUGAGUGUCUAUAGGAUACAGUGUGGUCUCGACUACACUCGCCAUAUCCCAAUUCAAACACAACUCUUCUAAGAGCAUCUACAGCCGAACCCCUCAUGCCCCCCUCAAAUGUCCGGGUUGACUGCCCAGUUACUAACCGGUCACAAAAAAUACACCGAGCCGACACCCUCAAACCAGCCUCAAACGUCCGGACUGACCGACACCCCUCAUAUCCAGCCCAAAUAUUGGGUGGCCCGGGCACGCCCGCGUGACACGCCCGGCCCACCAACGAGCCCACGGUUAUCCCACAAAAACCCAUCCGACUCAUCGCUCUGAAACCCUAGCUCACUCACUCUCCUCUCUUGCUCCGUCCUCUCCUCUCCCCGCACCAAUUCCGAUCGAAUCCGGCACAACAUCGAGCUCCAGCAGCUGCUUCGACCAUGAUCUGAUCCGGACUAUGAGCUUUCCUUUCACAUUGCCUUGGAGCAGUCCAAGGUGGAGACCGGGAGGUAGCUCCAGAUCAUGUAGCCUCGCCGCUUCCCCGUCGGUGCAGCUCGGACGCCGGCGCUGGCCCCUCCCAGCAUGUGCGUAGCUCUGACACGCGGCCUGCGCAAUCCAUGCCUUCCCUACGUCGUCCCCUGCCUGCACCCCCAUAUGGGCAGCGGUGGGUGCUUGUGCCCGGCCCGCCGGUUCGUACGCGCAGGCCGAAAUCAAAGGCGUGUGUCGCCCACCAUGAGCAACAUCGACAAGGGGAGAGGAGGGAGGCGGAGCAGUCCGUGCGCCAUCGCUGCAGGAUGAAGAGGGAGCCCGACGAGGACACGCAGCUCCUCGAAUGGGUGUACCGCCAGUCGCUUACGACUGCGAGGACGAACGAGUGGCGGCUCCGCCGAAAGAAUGCCAAGGCGCUCUGGAUUGCCAUUGAGCAGUCCGAGUGCGAGGCGGCGGAGGAGGCUCGGCUCGCGAAGCUCAAGUGACAGCAGGAGAGGGAGGUCCGAUGGCUAAAAGGGCUUGUCAUCCUUUGUGACGAUGAUGAUGACGACCACGGCUCCUCAUCGGACGAUUCAAACGAUCCCCACCAGCCAUCGACUCCUACAGCUGCGCCGGCGACCCGAAGGGCAAAGGGCCGUCAAGGAAGUGGUGAAUGUCCGUGUCUUCAUUUUCAAAUUUUUAGUAAUCUAAUUUAAAUUUAUCCAUCGUUUAUGUGAAUUAUGUGAACUAUGGCGAUCUUUUGGAUAUCCAGCUAUGAUCUUUUGGUGAUCGAGAUGUGCAUUCCUUUGUCCGAUUCUGUGUUUGUGGGUUGAUCUAUGUUCUUUUUAUCUAUGUUGCAUGCUAGUAUGGAUAUGAGGGACUUGAUAUGAGAUACAUGGAUAUGGACGUCAGGAUUUGAGGAGUGGCAGUUAGUGCCCGCAAACAUGUCCGGACGUGUCCACGGGCAUUUGAGUGUCCGGAUUUGUAAGUUCUGACUGUAGUGCUCUAAAUUGAUCAAACCAAGCUUUAGGGGACUGUUUUAAGCCCCAUGGCCAAACUAUUUGUUUCAUCAAAUGCCUUAAUCAUUGUCAGUCUUUCGGUGUAACCAAGGAGUAAAAUAACCUUGCUUGUUGCAACUGAGCUGACCAUUCCACAGAAAGAAACGAGUGAUCGCAUCUCAUGUCUUCCGUCUUAAUUAAACUAACAACUCUUUUGUUCCUUUCAUUGCUGACAUACAGCUGGAAGCACCAACUGUCAACUCGGCGAUGGCCCUGAUAAUUGACACCAGGAGACCCCCGUUGCAGACUGAGCCGAUACAUGGAAACAUAUAGUCUUGACUAUUCGCUCCAAAGAACUCAUUCAUUCAUAUGCUGAGUAAUAAGAGUUGGCCGAAUCCCCUUUUGGUUUUAACGAAUCGGUCCGACUAGCAACCUGACGCAGACAAUUCAGAUAAUUAGAACUCUACUAGAAGUGGCCCAAUCAUGCAGGCUAGAUCAUUCAGUCUGCUAGAUUUUUCUGAUAGUUAGGAGUGCUCCGGAGUACUACAUACUCCUAGAUGUGAGAUCAGGUCCCACCAGGCGCAUGCUUGAAGCAUAGGUAUUACAGUAGAUAGGUAGGUGACACUAGAUCCUAUCCUGCUGCUUGGCUGCAUUAUUUGGAAAGCAAACUCACCCACUAGAACGGCACAAAAAAGAUGAUAGGUUAAAGUGAGCAUGCCAAACCUGCUGCUUGACCAUCUAGAACUAGUCUUGUUUCCUGUAGCCGAAAAUGAGACCCGUCUAGUGGUUUACACGAGACGUAAUUGCACGAUGGCGAGAAGAUGGUUCGGCUUCGUAUCAUCUACGUCGUCGGCGGCUUUAUUGUUUGAUGCGAUGUUAUGUUCCACGAGAUCAAGCAAACGCACUUGACAUUGGUCGGAAAGCGAGAUGGUUUCUCCGUCUAUGCGCUCCGCCUCUGCCUGCGUCGCCUCAAGCCAAGGAAAGACCAAACCGAGGCACGAUCAGGUUGGAACGCACCUACGUGCACCUGUUUUCUUAACAUUUUUCCUAAUACAAAUUUGCAGAUGGCGAUCAAAGUUGUUGCUGUUGCUUUGCCAGCUAGUCAGGCAUCUGUACAUUGUUUCUGGCAUCCGGAAAGCACAGGGAAUGGCAUGACAAAUGCACGCACCUACAUCAAAAGCUUAAGGUUUUUUUUUUUUUUGCUUGCAUGUAAUCGAAAGAUUAAGUUGAUGGGAAAAGAUUCAGUCCAGCCACGCUUCCAACUCUUCGUUUAGCGUCAGAUUUAGUCAAAACUAGGCCCAACGACACAUGCCAAACCCAGCCUCCCUCAGGGGGGGGGNNNNNNNNNNNNNNNNNNNNCCCCCCCCCGCGGGGGGGGGGGGGCUUGGGGGCGUCCGACGCUAUUUUUGCACGCACAAACCCCACCGGUCAGCCUCUCUUUUUUUUUCUUUUUUUUGGUAGUCCCAUCAUGUGCAUGCAAAAAAAAGAAUCUCUCAUCUCUCUCUCUUUCUCUCCGCGUGUGUCCGGCUGGGGUGAGGGAUGGCUGGAUUUUUUUCCCAGUGCAAAAAUUCUGUCGGGGCAACCCGAGGAGGCUGAUAAAAUGCCUCCUAAGGGCACAACGGCUGGAGAUGAUCUUAUUCCCAUCUCAAAUGUCUCGUCAGGUCGUCCGGUCACUGAUCAGUUAUGAAACUUCAACUCAAUCAGAUGUCUCAAACGGGCCUCAAACGAACAGNNNNNNNNNNNNNNNNNNNNNNNNNNNNNNNNNNNNNNNNNNNNCAUUCCUCAUAUUCAGUCCAAAUAUGGAGCGAAUAUGGAGAGUCGAGCAUACCUGCCACGUCGAUCCAGCCCGCGUUGGCCCGCAUCGACCCCACAUAUAUUCAUUUUCAUCUGCUCGCCGGACCAAACGCUAACCAUUUCACUCCAUUCCCCUCCACUCUCAUCCGCCACACAAGUUCACCUCCGGCGAUUUCCGGCCUUCUUGGCAUGCUAGGCAAUAGAUCCGAGUCUUUCAUCUCAAGAUUCGUCGAUUAUGAGCUCAUCCCAUGCAGCCCCGAGGAGGAGAUGAUCGGCUGACUUACGCUCCACGACACCUGGGAGGCGGCCGAACUUCGAUAGCACUCCGACUCGCAGCGUCGGAAUUCAUUGCGCCGACACAAUCGGUGCUUGGAUCCGUCGUCGCUGCUUCACCGGAUGCGGUGCGGUCCAUCUGGCGUUCGAAUGUCGUGGCGGACACGCAACCCCUCUGAUGGUGCAUCGAAAACGCACCACAGGCGUCCUCGGACGCUAACAUGUCACGGCGUGCCCGCCGUGCGAGGCAGCGGGCACGGGGGGCGGGGGAGGCCCUCACGGCGAUGGACGUUGGAGAGGUGAACUCACACUCUCAGGUGCCCCGUAUAAUGCACGGGUACGGGCGCCACAGCCGCGUCAUGGUGGAUAUCCUCUCCUUUCGGAAAGGAUUCGUCAUCGACAUGACGUCCACCGACAUCAUACAGGUUACGGACCCCGACGAGGAAGAGUAGGGCAUGGGAUACGGCGGGAGCUUCACUCCCCGUGAGCCGGUAAAUGUUCCAUGUCCUAUUCUAUCUUGCCGGCGACCGGACCAACACUACGAGGAACGCAACCGGCCGUUAGACAUGGUCACGGUGGAGCUGAACGAGCUUCGCUUGUAUUAUUUACGUUGCAUGUAAUAAUACAAAUUUAAGGUUUUUAAUUUAAGAUAUCCAAUCGUAAAAUGCAUUAUUAAAAAUGUGCUCGGUCAGUGUCAUGCGAUUUGAGGAGUCGAAUUUACCAAGUCCGAGUGUGAAUGUUCUUAGUUUCGCGAAAUAAGCGGGUCAGUGCUUGCAUCCAAUGCAACCGAACUAAAAUAGCAAUGCCAUCACAUGCGUGUCUUGAACCAACAUCUCUCUUGCUCAUUCCAUUACUGACAACAUACAGCUGGAAGCACAAGCACUACAAAACACUCAGCGAGGGCCCAACGACGCCCGUUGCACACCGCUGCAACACAUGGAAACGGAUAUUAGCCUCAACUAUAGCCAUGAUUCUACUCAUUCAUUUUUAACCAUGAAACGGUGCAACCAUCUAAAAUAAAUCGAUGCAAACUGACGCGGACAGUUCAGAUGAACACAGCACACCACCGAUGAGUGACCGAGCAGUUGCCCAAUCAAUCAUGCACGCCGACUACUCCUCUGUUUCUAAAUAUAAGUCUUUGUAGAAAUUUCAUUAUAGACUACAUAUAAAAUAAAAUAUGUAAAUUUAUAAUUUAAAAUAUGUUUAUACAUCGUAGUGAAAUCUCUAUAAAUCUCUAAAAAACUUAUAUUUAGAAAGUAGAUUCAGCGGUUGUACCUCGGAAGGAAAUGCUCUGCAUGGAUGUCGGAUCCGAUCACAAGAUGCAUGACAGGCGGCUGGUGCCAUGUCUGCAUAGCACUAGUUCUUAUCCAGAAUGGCAGAAUCUGUGUGCGAAAACCGCUGCUUGGUUGCGCUAUUUUAGAAAUUAAUUAAGCAACUCGUCCACUAGGACGGCCGUUGAUCCAUGGCUAUCUCCACCAGGAACUUGUACGUAGUAGAUAGUCAGACAAUUUGCAGUCAGCGUCUUGGAAACCAAUGAGAUGGGAGGGAAAAACUGGUAUUAAUGGCCAUCUAGAGGCAAAAUGUCCUGGUUUCUCAUGCAACCUUUCAUGAACGCUUUACCAUACGUCGUUAUCAAAUUUAUAUUAUCCGAUGCAAAGUACCCCCAAAAAGUAACAGUAUAUACGGGAGUGCCAUGAAUCUGUGCAAGCGCAUACCCUAUUCACUUUUGUUUGAAAGUGAAAUGUGUUUCCUUACGUUUAUACUCCCUCCGUCCUAAAAUUAUUGUGUUAUGUUUGUCUAAAAAUAGAUGUAUCUAAAUACUAAAGCAUGACUAGAUACAUUCGUAUCUAGACAAAUUUAAGACAAGAAUUUUAGAACGGAGGGAGUAUUAUAUUUACACCGUGCGUUGCCACUUGAAGGCAGGGAGAGGCCAAGGGCACGACUGAUUUGUUGGAAGUACACCUGGUCGCUCGAUUGCUUCUUGGGCGGCGUUUCCUCUAGAACUUUGUUAGAUGAUGAUGGAGGCCACCGGAGGAUCUUAAAACUAACGAUUCUGUCGCUGUUGGAUAUAAAAGGCACCAACUUUUGCCAGACGGGCAGGCAUCUGCAGAUUGUUUCUGACGGAAGGCAUGGCUGGAUCGUGUGUACUUUCGGCGCCGUCUAAUUUCUCUUCCUUUUCGCCGGAAAGUGCUGUGUUAAGUAAGCUGAAAGAAGUUUCCGGCAAGAAGAAAAAAGUAUCCUCGAAGAAAUAGGGAAUGAGAGCAUCUAACUUGCAAAUUUGACCCCUCAAACAUUCAUGAGUCCGGACGCGUGCGUAUACACUAACUGAUGAUGGCUUAAAUUUGCUCGUCUACAUUUAGAUAUCUCGUAUGAUAACCUUAGGCCAAUUUUAACCCGCGACCUCGAAUGAUCGGGCCGCGUCCAUUUGCGAAUAAACGGACACAAAACACAGACCAACGUGCGGGAGCAAUUUUGACUCAUUUUCGAUCCAAAUUUUUGUCGUGUUUGCAUCAAAACGGCAACGCUCGGACGGGUGGAACGCGCACCCUUGUCCUCCACUGACCCGCCCGUCAGGGACACGCCCACCCACUUUCCCUCCCUUUCCCCCAAACCCUUCCGCGCUCAUUCUUCCCCUCCCUCCUCCAUGGCCCCGAAGAAACCCGUAGACCCGGACGCCACCGCGCGCCCUCCGGUGAAGAAGGAGGGCCCAAAGAAGCCGCUAUUGGAGCUCAUGCCGGAGGAACAAGUGCACCUCGAGCGUGAAUCGGCCAAGGGGAGGGCACAGUGGACCACUGCGGCAGAGAAGAAAGCCGACGACGACUACACCGCCAAUUCGCGACCUUGCAGCAGGCCGCGCAAUACAAGGCCGUCGUCGACAAGAACGAGGCCAUCCUCGCUAAGGCCCAAGGCCAUACAGGUAACAGCGACGCAAGCCCUCGUCAUGAUGUGGUUGGUUCAACCUGGGUCGACCAUUAUCUCCGCUGCUGCCAUGGCGGCGGCGAGCACAAGCUCAUCGGUUGUUCGCCCUCCGCAGUACUAGUCGCCGACCUCCUCCAUAACCCUGUAGAUGCCUGGGUUCUCCACGUCACGACUGCGUGGCCAGACCCGCUUCUCCACGUCACCGGACGGUAGCGUGAUCGCGCCGGCCACACUUGUCAUCCCGCCCGUCAUUGACCUCAACGUCACGCCUUUAGCUGGCUAGUCAUAGGAUUAGAAGCGAUGGUUGGCCCGGAUUCUGACAAAUGGCCGAAGGCCAUGAAAUCCGAGAGGAGGAUCCAUGUAUGAAAACAAAGUGUAGACUUUGGAAGAACUACUUGAUGGUCGUAAGACUAUUAAAUACAAAUGGAACUUUAAAAGGAAGACAAACGAUGAUGGUGAAAAAUCACCAUUAAGAAAGCUCGACUUGUCGCAAAGAUGUUUCCGACAAAGUUCAAAGAGUUGACUACGAUGAGAUUUUUUCACUCGUAGCGAUGCUGAAAGUAUGUUGGAAUUAUGUUAGCACUUGCUGCAUCAUUUAUGAAAUCUUGAAGAUAAGAUGUUAAAAUAUUGUUCCAUCGACGGUUUUCUUGAGGAAAUAUUGUAUGUGAUACAACCAGAAGAUUUUGUCGAUCCUAAAUGAUGCUAACUGUUGGAAAUAUGCCCUAGAGGCAAUAAUAAAAUGGUUAUUAUCAUAUUUCCUUGUUCAUGAUAAUCGUCUAUUGUUCAUGCUAUAAUUGUAUUAACAGGAAACAGUAAUACAUGUGUGAAUAAAUAGAUCACAAUGUGUCCCUAGCAAGCCUCUAGUUGGCUAGCGCGUUAGUCAAUAGAUGAUCAUGGUUUCCUGGUCAUGGGCAUUAGAUGUCAUUGAUAAUGGGAUCACAUCAUUGGGAGAAUGAUGUGAUGGACAAGACCCAAUCCUAAGCAUAGCACUAGAUCGUAUUGUUCGUAUGCUAAAGCUUUUCUAAUUUCAAGUGUCUUUUCCUUCGACCGUGAGAUUGUGCAACUCCCGGAUACCGUAGGAGUGCUUUGGGUGUAUCAAACGUCACAACGUAACUGGAUGACUAUAAAGGUGCACUACAGGUAUCUCUGAAAGUGUCUGUUGGGUUGGUACGAAUCGAGAUCGGGAUUUGUCACUCCGCGUGAUGGAGAGGUAUCUCUGGGCCCACUCGGUGGAACAUCAUCAUGAGCUCAAUGUGACUAAGGAGUUAGUCACACGAUGACAUGCUACGGAACGAGUAAAGAGACUUACCGGUAACGAGAUUGAACAAGGUAUAUGUGUACCGACGAUCGAAUCUCGGGCAAGUUCUAUACCGACAGACAAAGGGAAUUGUAUACGGGAUUGAUUGAAUCCUUGACAUCGUCGUUCAUCCGAUGAGAUCAUCAUGGAGAAAGUGGGAGCCACCAUGGGUAUCCAGAUCCCGCUAAUGGUUAUUGGCCGGAGAGGUGUCUCGGUCAUGUCUGCCUGUCUCCCGAACCCGUAGGGUCUACACACUUAAGGUUCGAUGAUGCUAGGGUUAUAGGGAAUUGUUAUACGAGGUUACGGAAAGUUGUUCGGAGUCCCGGAUGAGACCCCGGACGUCACGAGGAGCUCCGGAAUGGUCCGGAGGUAAAGAUUGAUAUAUAGGAUGGAUGGUUUUGGACACCGGAAAUGUUUCGGACGUACCGGUAGUGCACCGGGACCAUCGGGACCACCGGAAGUGGUCCCGGGGGUCCACCGGGAGGGGCCAGCAGCCCCAAGAGGUAGCAUGGGCCAAAAGAGGGAGGUAAACCAGCCCAAAGUGGGCUGGUGCGCCUCCCACAAGGAGGCCCAAGGCGCAGGAGGUGGAGAGGGGGGGGGAAACCCUAGGCGCUGGUGGGCCUAAGGCCCACCUAGGGGUGCGCCACCCCCUCCCCCUGCCCUGGCCGCCACACCUCCCAUCUGGGGGGGGGGCGCUGCCGCACCACCUAGGGUGGGAACCCUAGGGGUGGCACCCCCCUCCCCUCCUCCUAUAUAUAGUGGGGGUUUCGGGGCUGUUUUACACACAGUUUUCCCUCUCCCUCGGCGCAGCCCUGCCCCCCUUCUUCCUCCUCUCCCACGAUGCUUGGCGAAGCCCUGCCGGGAGACCUCGUCUCUCCAUCGACACCACGCCGUCGUGCUGCCGGAGAUCUUCCCCAACCUCUCCCUCCUCCUUGCUGGAUCAAGGUGCAGGAGACGUCACCGGGCUGCACGUGUGUUGAACGCGGAGGUGCCGUGGUUCGACACUAGAUCGGAAUCACACCGCGAUCUGAAUCGCCGCGAGUACGACUCCAUCAACCGCGUUCUAGCAACGCUUCCGCUUAGCGAUCUUCAAAGGUAUGAAGAUGCACUCACCCUCUCUCAUUGCUGGUCUCUCCAUAGGAAGAUAUGAAUAUGCGUAGGAUUUUUUUUGAAUUUAUGCUACGUUACCCAUCACUAACAUGCAAGUAUGCAAAGCUCCAGUGAUCCUUCUAUGGACUGGAGCAAACAUCUCGGAGUUGGAAUAUACGCUUUGAUGAGAUGAUCAAAGAUUUUAAUUUUAUACAAAGUUUAUGAGAAACUUGUAUUUCCAAAGAAGUGAGUGGGAGCACUAUAGAAUUUCUGAUAAAUAUAUGUGGUUGACAUAUUGUUGAUCGGAGAUGAUGUAGAACUUCUGGAAAGCAUAUAUGGUUGUUUGAAAAGUGUUUUUCAAAGGAAAACCAGGAUUAAGCUACUUGAACAUUGAGCAUCAAGAUCUAUGGAGAUAGAUCAAAGUGCUUAAUAGAACUUUCGACGAAAUACAUGCCUUGACAAGUUUUUUGAAGGAGUUCAAAAUAGAUCGGAAAAGGAGGAGUUCUUAGCUAUGUUGUAAGGUGUGAAUUUGAGUAAGACUCAAAAGCCUGACCACGGUAGAAGAAAGAGAAAGGACGAAGGUCGUCCCCUAUGCAUCAACCAUAGGCUCUAUAGUAUGUUAUGUUGUGUACCGCACCUUAAGUGUGCCUUGCCAUCAGUGAGUCAAGGGGUACAAGAGUGAUCCGGGAAUGGAUCACUGGGCAUCGGUCAAAGUUAUCCUUAGUAACUAGUGGACUAAGAAAUUUUUCUUGAUUAUGGAGAUGAUUAAAGAGUUCGUCAUAAAGGAUUGCGUCGAUGCAAGCUUUGGCACUAAUCCGGAUAACUCCAAGUAGUAAACCGGAUUCGUAUAGUGGAGCAGUCAUUUGGAAUAGUUCCAAAUGGUGCAUGGUAGCAGCAUCUAUAGAAUGACAUAGAUAUUUGUAAAGCACACACGGAUCUGAAAGGUUUGGACCCGUUGACUAAUAAACCUCUCUCACAAGAAAGAUAUGAUCGAACCCCAGAACUGUAUGGGUGUUAGAUUCAUUGCAAUCACAUAGUGAUGUGAACUAGAUUAUUGACUCUAGUGCAAGUGGGAGGCUGUUGGAAAUAUGCCCUAGAGGCAAUAAUAAAUUGGUUAUUAUUAUAUUUCCUUGUUCAUGAUAAUUGUCUAUUAUCCGUGCUAUAAUUGUAUGAAUCAGAAAUCAUAAUACAUGUGUGAAUACAUAGACCACAACAUGUCCCUAGUGAGCCUCUAGUUGGCUAGCUCGUUGAUCAAUAGAUGAUCAUGGUUUCCUGAUCAUGGACAUUGUAUGUCAUUGAUAACAGGAUCACAUCAUUAGGAGAAUGAUGUGAUGGACAAGACUCAAUCCUAAGCAUAGCACUAGAUCGUGUUGUUCGUCUGCUAAAGCUUUUCUAUUGUCAAGUAUCAUUUCCUUAGACCAUGAGAUUGUGCAACUCCCGGAUACCGUAGGAGUGCUUUGGGUGUAUCAAACAUCACAACGUUACUGGGUGAUUAUAAAGGUGCACUAUAGGUAUCUCCGAAAGUGUCUGUUGGGUUGGUACGAAUCGAGACUGGGAUUUGUCACUCAGUGUGACGGAGAGGUAUCUCUAGGCCCACUCGGUAAUGCAUCAUCAUACUGAGCUCAAUGUGACUAAGGAGUUAGCCACGAGAUGAUGUGUUACGGAACGAGUAAAGAGACUUGCUGGUAACGAGAUUGAAUAAGGUAUAGGGAUACCGCCGAUCGAAUCUCGGGCAAGUAUCAUACCGGUAGACAAAGGGAAUUGGAUACGGGAUUGAGUGAAUCCCCGAUAUCGUGGUUCAUCCGAUGAGAUCAUCGUGGAACACGUGGGAAUCAACAUGGAUAUCCAGACCCCGUUGUUGGUUAUUGACCGGAGAGGUGUCUCAUUCAUGUCUGCAUGGUUCCCGAUGAGAUCUCGGACGUCACGAGGAGUUCCGGAAUGGUCCGGAGAUAAAGAUUCAUAUAUAGGAAGUGAGGAGUUGAUCGAUGGAAGUGUUUGGGGCGUCACCGGUAACGUACCGGGACCACCGGAAGGGUUCCGGGGGUCCACCGGGAAGGGUCACCAGCCCCAAAGUGCUACAUGGGCAAAAAGUGGAUGGGAACCAGCCCCUAGGUGGGCUGGUGCGCCACCACUAAGGUCCCAAGGCGCAUCAAGGGGCUAAGGGGCCAAACCCUAGGCGUGAAGGGCCUGCCUUGGGCCCAAAGCCCACCCUAGGGCGCCACCCCUCCAUCCAUCUAGGGUUGUCGCACCCCUUAGGGUGGGCACCCUCCUCCCUCUCCUCCUAUAUAUAGUGGAGGGUUUGGGGCUGUUUUGAGACACAAUUGCCUUUCUCCACGGCGCACUCCUACUCCUCCUCCUCUUCGUCCUCCGUAGAGCUUGGUGAAGCCCUGCCGGAGUACCACGUAGCUCCAUCGUCACCACGCCGUCGUGCUGCCGGAGCUCUCCCUCAACCUCUCCUCCCUCCUUGCUGGAUCAAGGCGUUGGAGACGUCACCGGGCUAUACAUAUGUUGAACGCGGAGGCGCCGGUGUUCGGUGCUUAGAUUGGAAUCCACCGCGAUCUGAAUCGCUACGAGUACGACUCCUUCAACCGCGUUCUAGUAACGCUUCCGCUUAGCGAUGUUCAAAGGUAUGAAGAUGCUCUACUCCUUUGCUCGUUGCUGGUUUCUCCAUAGAUAGAUCCUUGUGUGACGUAGGAUUUUUUUUGAAAUUACUACGUCCCCAAAAGCCGAGGGGCAAGACCAACUCAAUGAUUAACGAAAAGCGUGAUGCGACAUCCUUCGCCUUACAAGAAACUUUGCAAGGCAAGAUGACUCAAAAGAAAGUGAUGAAGGAGAGGAGGAGCAAAUGAAGAUAUACCUGGAGCUCCAAACAAAGAAGCUUGACAUGGAGAAGGUUGAAGAAGAGAGGGGGUGAAAAUGAGAGAGGGUUUGAAUGCGGUGCUUAGUAAGAAGUGUGGGUAAAUAUAGGAGCGUUAGGCCGGUAGGAAUGAAUGCUGACAUUUGAACUACGUGUUGUUGAUAAUGCAGAUAGACAAGGGAAAGGAGGUGGUGCCAUCAAUGGAGAAGGGCAAGGAGGCCGUGCCGCCAUUGGUGGACGUGUCGGUGCAGGAUCACCCUAACACCAAGCGGUGGAACUACGGGCACUACCAUGAGGAGGCAAACCAAACCACUUAUGCAAGGUGAUCUAUGCUUUGUGGCUGGAGGCUUUGCCUUUGCCUCUGGACAUCACAAAGCACUUCCCCGCCGUGCCUACAGAGUCAGUUUGAAGACAACCACCGCGUGCUCAUGGAGGGUCAUGGUGAAGGUGGUCGACGGCAGGGUCACCCUUGAUCUGGGUUGGGACACCUUCGCCGCCGUUCACCAUGUCAGGAUCGGGUACAUGCUGACUUUUAAGUUGCUCAUCCCGAACAUCAUGAAGGUGACCGUCUUCAACAAUGACGACAUGGAGGUGGUCACCAAGUGCAAGAAGCACGACGAGGCUUUCACGGUUUCUAGUUUCGUGUUGGUUGUUCUUUUAAGACUAUGUGUUGUUGUAUCGUUUAAAACUUAUCAUACUAAGUUCUGUGUGUGGUUAAAUUUUGAUGUGUUUCUAAGUUUGUUCUAGUUGCUCUAUUUUUUGGUCCCUGAUAACCUCACCAUAUCGAGAAGGAGGUUACCACACUUAUUGUCCUGAACGUAACCAAACAACCGGACUUGUGUUUCGCCUCAAACGAGGCCACAACCAAACAACAUGCCUUCUCUUUCAGCACAUGCAUGCUAGAGGGGAUGCACGCAAUCAAUCAACACACUCCCCCGUUUCUUUUUAGUCUGCAUAUAAGAUUUGGUCAAAGUCAAGUGAUACAAAGUUUGACCAAAUAUAUAUCAAAAGAUAUCAACAUCUAUAAUACGAAACCUAUAUGCUAUGAAAAUUAAUAUCAUGAUGCAUCUACUAAUAUUGAUUUCAUAUUAUAAAUGUUGAUAUUUUGUUCAAUAAAUUUUGUCAAAGUUUACGAAGUUUGACUUUGAUCAAAUCUUAUAUACGGACUAAAAAAGAAACGGAGGGAGUACAUACAUUGUUUUUUCGGCACAUGCUCACCCAGGUUUAACCGAGACAAGUAUGCAAAGUGUAAAAAACGAGGAAGAUGAUCAAACACGUCUUUAAUUAUGUAGAGACCGGGUGUAUGCUCAUUAUGUUUGUAUCGCCCGAUGCCACAUUAUGAAUCAAUAAAAACGUUCUUUCUAAAAAAAAAAGACAUUUCUAUUGGCCACCGCCCAAGUUCUCCUUGCACAGAAAGGAAAAAGGAAAAAAGAAAAUCCUUGAACAAAGUCGACAUUUUGCUUUGCUCGACAAGAACAAUUCGGGCACACAGUAGCAGUCAGUCGAUUUCAACGGUGAGGAGGAGACGGCGGGUGAACUGGGUGAAUCAUCGUCUUCCCGGACAGCGACUCGCACCGCGUCCGAGGGCGAGGGGCGGCAGACGAGCACGAAACCACCUCGCGACACGCGGCUCCCACCACAGCGCACCGCACCGCACCGCACCCAGACGGGGAAAAGGGAGAAGAAAUCUUGUGCGCCGCCCCCUUCCCCCCCACGGCCAAGAACAAAACUAACUUUCCCUUGCGGGUGCGCACGGUCGUCUUCCACAACCUCCACUCCCUUCGCGCGGCCGCUAUCCCGUUUCCGCUCCCCGCCCCAGCACCGGCCUAACCCGGCACACGCCAAGAACAAGCAAGCUCAGAAGCCAGAAACUUCUUCGAUCGAUCAGCAACAGUCGGGCGGACCAAGAGUCUGUUCGAUCCGGCCGGUGCAAGAACCUGCUGGGACAGGCGAGCGCGACGACGACGCCGGGAGGUCUCCGCUCUCCGACGGCAGGCGAGGUGACAGUGGCACCGGAGGGAUGGGCCUUUCGGCGGUGAGGCGUAACACGCCGCUCUUCUCCAAGUCGCCGGCCUCCCUGCUUCUGCUCUCCAAGCGGCUCACCCUCUACUGUUGAGCUCCCGGCGGGCGGCCGUUUCCUUCUCGGUCGAGCGAGCCAUCCAUCCAUGGGCGCCGUUGGUUCGUCGGCGAGGCGCGGCGGGGGCACGGCGCUGGGGGACCUGCCGGAGAACUGCGUCGCCGAGGUCAUGCUCAGGCUCAACCCGACGGAGAUCUGCGGCAUGGCCCGGCUCAGCCGCACCUUCCGCGGCGCCGCGUCCGGGGACGCCGUCUGGGAGGCCAAGCUGCCGCGCAACUACGCGCGCCUCCUCGCCGCCGCCGGCGGUGGCGACGAGGAGGCCGCCGCGUUGGAGGCGGAGGCAAUCCCAAAGAAGGAGGUGUACGCGCGGCUCUGCCGCCGCAACUCCCUCGACGGAGGCACCAAGGUGUGUGCUCUGUCACAUCUUUCUGGUUAACAUCGCCACUAUGAAGCAAACUGCGUCUGUUAAAAAUAUUGAAAAUUUCCCGUAAUUUGUUCUAAAAUUUAUGACAAACCUUGUGCAAAUUAGUAUGCCGGCAAAUUAAUAAAACUGCGGGAAUUUGAUUUUGCUAGUAAAGGUGCAGGAAGUUGAGUUUAUUUUGGCGUGAAGUUUGUGUUAAUAAAGUGCAGGAAUUUGAGUUUAAGUCUGAUUAGUUUCAUAUACGCCGAUUUGAAGAUGAUCUUGUUUUGUUUUCCUUGAAUUGAAUUACUGUUGCUAAUUUGUUACUGCUACUGCAAAUGGAAUUCAUUAUCUGAUUCAUUGUGCAGGAGUUCUGGCUCGACAAGGCUGGUGGAGGCACCUGCAUGACAAUCUAUUCCAGGGCGCUUUCGAUAACAGGCAUUGAUGACAGGAGAUACUGGAACUUCAUUCCAAAUGAUGAAUCAAGGUGCUUUCAUCAAAACCAAACAUGACAGCUCAUAAUUGCCCCAUUUAUAGAAACUCUGUGCCAUGAUAUGUGAAUUUUCUUGCACUAUGUUGCUUGGAAGUGUGUUCAACAACUUCAGUUUUCAGCCCAGGCGCAUUUGGUUUGUGGGUGAGUAUCUGAACUCCGGGUGCGUAUCGCCGAAGCUGAGCAGCACCUCCCGCUAUUUGUAGAGCUCGCUUGUCGUAUGUCAUGGCCACUAAAGAAAUCCAAAUGGUGCAAACUACAUCAACUCUAUCUGUGUUCAACUCGUGUUACAAGCUGCAACUACCAGUUAGUUGUCUUGUCUUGAUAAAAGCAAAAAAAAAAAAAAAACCGGGAUUAUGAACAACACACUACUUCCGCAUGUCACCAACUAGGGGUGUGAUUAUCUGCAGUGGCCCCUGAAAUGUAUGCCAGUUGGAACGUGAUAAGCCCUUGCGUACCAGUAGUUGUUUCUUAUGAUGCCUGCAUAGGUUAACCAUGCCUUUCAUGUGAGAUAAUUGAGCAUGUUUGCUUUGUUAAUCAUGCCUUUCAUUUGAGAUAAUUGAGCAUGCCAAAGGCUUGCUUUACUGGCAUUCGACAACACAUAUCCAUUCCAAAUGCGGUACAAGUAUGUAUGUUAUGUGCUUCUAUUGAUGCAGAGGCCGGGGCAAAGCCUCCUUUUCUAAAAAAAAUGUAUCUUAUGUGCUUGUACAGUUGUGCUUUGUCAACUGUAUAUGGUUAUAGAGCCAGAGUGUUCCAAACAUUUGGCAGAUAAGAGAAGUCCUGAUAAGCAUGCCGCUUUUUCUGCAGGUUCCGUUCGGUUGCUUAUCUCUCGCAAAUCUGGUGGUUUGAAGUCAGAGGUGAGGUUAAGUUCUGCUUCCCAGAAGGUACAUAUAGCCUGUUCUUCCGAAUUCAUCUGGGCAGGCCUUUCAAGCGGCUCGGUCGUCGGGUUUAUAGUGCCGAGCACAUCCAUGGGUGGGACGUAAAGCCGGUGCGCUUCCAGCUAUCGACUUCAGACGGGCAGCAGGCCCAGUCCAAGUGCUACCUUACCGACCCAGGCGUGUGGAUCUAUCAUCAUGUCGGCGAUUUUGCCGUGAAGAACUCGAACGAACCACUGAAUAUCCAGUUUGCGAUGGUUCAGAUAGACUGCACACACACAAAAGGAGGCCUGUGUAUGGAUUCAGUGGUUAUAAAACCCAAAUGCCUUGCGCGGAAGGGACCUAGGAGUUGUGAGUAGAUCUGGUGAGCAGAGAUUAAGCUGGAUCUGUAGAAAUGAUAUGGUUUCGCUUGUUUUCCGCCGUAGUGUGCUUUCGGCUGUCGCUGUUUUUCGAUCCUGUAAUGUAAAUAUAAUUGGAGGGGUGAGUGAUUUUUUAUUUCCUCUUGUCCCUAUAGGAGCAUCAAACAUGUCACACCUUGUUAAUUGUGAGUUUAGUGGCAUAUAUACAUGUUUGCUUUUGCUAUGUUCUAUGGCACCUGAUCCUUGUGUACCAAAGCUUGGCUGAAUCAAAUUCCCCUCAACUUCCUCUUUUUUUCUUUUCAACCUACUACCUCAACUCCCUCUUUGCCCGUUGAGGUCCUCUUUGAUUCCUUGAUCUGCAGGAUUUCCAAAACAGAACUGAAGCACCAUGCCUUUUUGAAUUUUACAUUGUUGUAGACCAGAAGAGUUGACACAAUAUUAUGUUCAGCGAAACAUCACAUGAAAAACUAAAUUAUGCUUGAUGAGAUUAGACACAAUGAGAAUUACACUUUGAAAGUGAGAUUAAUUCUUAGAGAAACCCUUGAGGUUUCUGGUCCAACAAACCAAAACACCACUACAGGAAAUGUUUCAAGGCUCCAAACUCUACGAAAUUCCGCAAAGAUCCAUUCAAAUCAAAGAGGUCAUGAGUAGCAAAGCCAAGACAGUGUUGGAAAACUGGAAAAUUGCUAUGGAUCAGAGGGAGUACUAAAGUUUUAUAAUGCCAAUUUCGAUAGUAAAAAUAGCUGCAUCCAAUUCCCUCGGCAAUCGCGUGAAGUAUGUUCUCUAGUUUUCCUACAGCUUCAUCCAAAGCAAAGAGGUCCUGAAUAACAAAACGAAAACACGGGUGAAAAAUUGUUUGUUGGGGACAUGAUAGGCCUUUGGGGGCGUGUGGAUGUGGAUGGGGUGUGCUUACGACAACACAGCCUCGCCACAGAACAUAGGUGUGCUGGUGCUGAACACCUGUUGCUGACACUGAGGAUGCCACCGGAUGAGAUGAGAUCACGCGUGACAGCCGUAGGGUCAUCGAGAAGAGACUUUGUGCUGUAGGUUGCAUCACACCACAUCCAACACUUUACAACUUUAUGCAACUAACCAGAGAAUGAUUAAUCAUGGAAAGAACAACUUAAACUUUUUAAAAGAUGGGAUGCAGACAAGAACAUCUAUCAGCACAGGAAUCUAUGUACACCGGAUGGAGUGGAUCAGUGUCAGCACUGGAUCAUGGAGCUUAAUUAAUUAACUACUUCCUCCGUUCUUAAAUAUAAGUCUUUUUAAAAAUUUCACUAGGGCUACAUACGAAGCAAAAUGAGUGAAUCUACCCUCUAAAGUAUGUCUAUAUACAUUCGUAUGUAGUUCCCUAGUGGAAUCUUCAAAAAGACUUAUAUUUAGGAACUGAGGGAGUACUUAUUAGUUAAUACCAUCUGCAAUCGAUCGCCAUUGUUUAGGCAACCAAUGACGCUGAGAUCCAAUGCUAAUCCAGGAUCCGAGGAUAUUAAUAUUGUCGUGUGGCCUUUGCUGUGCCCCUGAUGCAACAGCACUCAAAUAAGGAUAGCAAAUUCAGAGAAAGAACCAUGCCCAAUUGUCCACUACUGAAACAAGCAAGGAUAGCAAAAUAGAGAUAUAUAAAUAAACAUCCUGUUUGAACUUUUCAAACUAUAAAGAGAGACAUGUGCCCGGGAGUAGAAAAUGCAUGUCCUAUAUAUGUGUAUAUAUAACAUUUACAAUCUUGCUUCAGACUUUACACAGUGGGCUGAUGUAAAGAGGGUGCAAUACUUGACAAACCAGAUCACCUACUGAACUGCUCCUGCUCGGUUGCAUUCUCGGAAAAUUGCAAACCAUAUAACCCACUGCCCGCACAUAUUUAUCAUCAUUUUAAUGACAAAACUAAGUUGGGGGACAUCAAACAUGGCAUGAUCCAAAAUACAUUUUUUCUUAAAGCACGACAGUCGACACACCAUCGAGAAUUAUAUAUAUAUAGCAUAAUAGGCCAUAGGAGAGCAAGAUUGUCCAUUAUCAUCACGCGGCGACGAGUCCACACCAUCUCCACAAACAUCGCAAGUUAACCAAAUACCUCCUCAUUGCAGACUGGGCAUGCCUGAAUGAAAACAAAUAUGCAUAUCAGAAAAAGAAUCAGAUAGUCUUUUGAAUAUCAGACAACAACAGAGGAUUGUACAGCAAGAUAUCAGACAACAGAGAAUUUUGAUAUGGCGUCCAGACGAUGUCUACUAAAAAAGCAACACUCCAUAUCUGAAUAUAUUUGCUUAUGUUGAGCGACACAGCAGGUUUAUAUUAACAUUCAGCAUCUAUUCAUAGAGGACGAAAAACUUAUAUUUGAACUGUAUCAUAUCAAAAUUAAACCAAACGGUAUUUUAGUGAAAGAAAAAAUAACUGAGUUUUACCUUGUUAAUCUUAAGCCAGCGAGUUAUGCAACCUGCAUGGUAACAAUGGCUGCAGGGCAGCCUUAUCAACUUCUCUCGGCUUUUAUAGUUCGAUUUGCAGAUCACGCAUCUGCAUGGAGACAUCACAUAGUUAUAUGUUUGCCUUGGGGUUACAAAGUGAUGACCGACUCUCAGAGUAAAACAAAUGUCACGUACUCAUCGGUAUUCUUUUUGCUCGAGAAGAAGUUACAUUUGUUCCUAAAAGGCUCCAGGUAGCUUAUCAGGUCAUCAGAUAAUCCUCUGGAUUGAGUUCCUACCUCUUCACCGAUUGCUUGUAGUUGCUACACAAUACAAUACCAAAUUAAUAGUAGUAAAUAAGUUGUUCAGAAAUGAGAUUUUUGUGUCAUACAAUAUGUCAAUCAAAGUGUGUCUAUUAUAAUGUCCAAUUGUUUUAUUGUCAAAUCACGGGAACAAAGUAGUAUAACUGAACUUUUUGUAUGGAAGCAGGUAUCCUGAGACAGUGAACCACAUCGACGAUAUGCGUUUAGAAAACUGUUUGUUCUCUAUAAACCAUCAAGUAAUGUUCCUUCCGCAAAAGCAAAACAACAUACCUCGUAUGACAUAUUAUCCGGGUCGACAUUAUCCUCUGUUGCCACCUGCAUACACACAUUGUGAUCAACUCAUCAUUCUGGGACCCCCUUCAAAUUUCAGUUCAGGUAAUUGGAAUCCCUUUCUAAGGAAUGUGUUGAUGAUCCCAAUGAGCCAACAAAAGAAAGCAAAAGAGUAGAAAGGCAACAAACCUGGGCUGCAUUAUUGGCAGGCCUGUACUCAACAGCUGGUGAUGAUGGUUCCAAGGAUACGCUGCCUAAAAACAAUGCGGCAUCAACAUGUAGCACGCGUGAGCAUUAGUUGAGUACAGCUAAUGAAUCCACCUCAAACAAUGCAAAAGAUGCUCGGAGAUUGGGAGCAGUGGCACUAUAUUAUACCAGCGAAUUCCCUAAUGGCGAGCGAGUCCUCCUCCUCUUGCAGUUGCCUGGCCAAAGCCUCGUCCGAUUCGCACCAGGCCUCGAUCUUAUGGGUCUCCGAGGAGACAUGGACUGCGUAGGUAUUGGGAGCUGCCAUUGCUGAAUUGUGACGCUUCCCUGCAGCAAUUUGCAGCUAAUGAACACUAUAAUUGGAUCAAUCAAUGCAACACUACAUUCUACAUGUAUAAACCUGUUCUGGCUAUCGUCUUAACUGAAGUAAGGAACAUUCAGAAUUUGGAUUCGGAAUCGCAUUAAAAGCUGAUGAUUGCCAGGUAUUAUUCCUCUUUCUAUUUAUAGACUGAUUAAGAAAAUAUUUUCUGCAAAUUACUGUGCUCCGGGAAGAAGUAGAAACACACACUCUCCAAAUAAAUACAGCUUAAUUCAACUCUUGAAAAGAGCAGCCAUGACUUUUUCUAACACCUAAAAGAGCUCGAAUAUCUAAAGAAGAAGAAGAACAACAAUAAAAUCCAACCUUGAUAUUCUUCUUAUUAUCGCCGAAUAACAACUAUUUUAUCUAUCGAUCAGCGACCGCUUUAGCAUACCAUGGAAUACAUUUCCCGGCUCAGUUCCGAGCAGACGACACGCUAGACACGCCGCUCCAAGAACAAGAGGGGAAAAAGGGGGCAGAAUCCAGAGCAUAUCCGGGCAAUCCUAAACUUGGCGGAGAAGGGGAGGAAAGGGACGGUGAAAGAGAGAGAGAGAGAGGCGAUCGACCCGGAUCAAGAACACGAUUCACCGGACGAUUCUCGGCGAUCGAGGAGUCGAUGCAUACCUUGCCUGCCGCCUUGUGAGACGAGCGGAAGAGCAGAGAGUGACGGCGCCGCCUCCGCCCCCGCCUCCUCUCUGUCUAUCUCUGUCCCUCUCAGCCGAGCCAGACGUGCGCUAUUGUGCCACUGGAGAAAGGCUUUAUGCUACCGACGUGGUCGCGGGUGCUCCCAAAGUCCAACUGAUGGAGACUACCUACUGGUAUGUAGUAGUAUGCGCCUUCCUUUCUCUUCUUUUUUUGGUCCGUUCUGAUUUGCAUUCCUUCAUUCCUUUGUGUCCCUCGCUCUUGGCUCGGCAACCCAAUCUUUUGAUUUUGUUUCCGUUCGAUCACAGUUGCAGUUGCCCAAAUCUUGUUGAUUGUGUUUUUUGUUUCCAUAAUUCAGAAGAUGUGGGACAAGAAAAUGAGUGAAAUUGCAAUGCCAUGUCCGCCUGAAUUCCGUACUGUCGAAUUAAUCUGCUUCGGAUUUCGUCAGAUCUUUUUUUCCCGGGUUCGUCGGGGGGACGGAAUGGUAUCUGGUGAAUGGCUGAACAGUUUCCCAGGUUUUGAUCCUGGCUGUAACGCUCGUGAACUUGACACUUGUACUUCUUUUUCCUGGGUGAAAGGAGUUUUAUUUUAAAAUUAUAGGGUUACAUAAGAAUGGCAACAAUUCCUUGAUACAUGGGAUCUUUGGUGUAACCACACGGCAGUAGUACACUCGAUACGACUAUAGUUUGCCUCGUGACUUUUAAUUGGCAUCUGUUGAGUAAAUAGGUAAUUUUCCGAAUAUAUUAAUCCACGAAAUAAUAACUAACAUGACAUUGACUAGACUAAUGAUAUACUGAUCAUGAACUAAUCUAACACAUACUAGGCAUAUAGUUGAUACAUCUAUGCAUUCCAGCGGUAUUACUAGGAUUGAAACGAACAGGAGUGGGAUAAACGAGCUAUACCCUCCAGUAGGCCAGUUGGCCGUAGCAGCGAUGUUGGCAGCGGAUGCAGCGGUAGCAUCCUCUGCCCUCUUCUUCUUAGCUUCAAGGGCGAGACGAUCGGCCUCGGACGGUUCAACCAUGGCGAUGACGAGGACGACGUGGACGUAGACGAAGCAGACGGGCGGAGGCGAGCAGUCGCGUGAUUGCUCCCCAAAAACCUAAUCGCCCCUCUCCCGUACAGGAACCGGAGAGGCGGGGUUUCGGAGACCUGCUCUCCCGUCGACCGUGUACGCGGUGAACGGGACGGAGUCGCCGGCAGCAGCAGCAACAAAGGAACGAGCGCGUGAGGCAGAUGCGAUCCUGAUUCUCGUGACGGCUAGGGUUGGCGUUAGCCCUGCUUAUAUAGGCGGCCGGAUGGAGACACGUGUGCUGAACCCACGUCCGAGUCGGUAACAUGACCGGCAAAAAUAAGCGCGUAGGUAUGAGCUCGGCUCGGCUCAUUCCCGCGGCGCGUCGUGAUGAGGCGGGCGACGGAGGAGGAGUGCGCGAGGGCAUCUUCUCUUCUCACUCUCCAAUAGCAUGUAGAAGAGAGCCCCUUAUAAAGGGGUCCAACUUCUUCUCCACUAGCGGGAUGGGACUAAACUUCCCACCACCACCUUAUCAUGCCACCACCUACAUGGGCCCUUCGAGAUUUCUGAAAUUCUCUUAUGGGCCUAAGGCCCACUACUAAUUUCAACAAUCCUCCACCAGAUCUCAAGGGCACAUCGUGUUCCCUCGUUCCAAUCACUGUUUUAAUAUACCAACAUUUCAGUGAAGACCUGUUAAGGUUGAGCUUCACCUAGAACAAGUAGCUACACCCCUUUACAACUGAAUAAUGGACUAUGCCUUGAAUUGUCAGUUUGGUGUAAAGAAGCUUCACCACAAGUCUUACUAGUACUAGGUUACCGAAGGCUGACCCCUCGGGUGGAGCAUAUAAGUCAUACUCCUGGCCUAUUCAUGAGUUUACUAGAGAUCACCCCAAUCUCAUAGACUGUGACCAGCAGUCAAGCUCAUAUAGGUGUGUUUCUCGAAAGAUCGCUCUGUAGGACAGCAUCUUGCUUACACAUAAGCUUUAGAACACAUUAAGACAGUAGUCAUCCUACCAUACAGUAUCCGAGAGUAUUGCAUCUCCAACGGAGUGGGUUAGUUAAGUUACUCUCCUCAGUUCACCAGUGGCUUGUUUUCCCAGGUCCUACUUCACGGGAUCUCCGAUCAUAUAGGUUGGGUUACUUCCAUGGCAACUCAUGUGGGUCUCAUACCCAUCUCCCUCGAUGCACUAUCUAUCACAACAUGUGAUAGCCCUUUAGUAAAGGGAUCUGCCAGAUUCAUAGCCGUUUGGAUGUAAGCCAACGCUAUCACUCCGGAGUUUCUCAAACGUCUGACAGACUUCAAUCUCAUUCUUAUAUGUUUGUUGGACUUCAUAUUAUCCUUUGAACUCUUCACUUUGAAAAUAACUGUCUGAUUAUCGCAGUUCAUAAGGAUAGCCGGAACCGGCUUCUCAACCACAUGUAAGUCCAUCAAAAGAUCUUGAAGAAAUUCUGCUUCGACACCAGAUGUGUCUAAUGCUGUUAAUUCUGCUUCCAUUGUCUAUCUCGUUAAGAUCGUUUGCUUGCAAGACUUCCAGGAAACAGCACCACCCCCAAGAGUAAACAUAUACCCAGUAGUGGCCUUCAUCUCAUCAGCAUCAGAGAUCCAAUUCGCAUCACUAUACCCUUCAAGUACCGAUGGGUAUCCCGUAUAGUGAAGUCCGUGGUUGACAGUACCUUUCAAGUAGCGCAUAAUUCUUUCAAUAGCACACCAAUGAACAUCGCCCGGGUUUGCAACAAAUCGGCUAAGUUUGCUCACAGCAAACGCGAUGUCAGGCCUCGUUGCGCUAGCUAGGUACAUAAGCGAACCGAUAAUUUGAGAGAAUCUCAAUUGAUCUAUAGAUGUGCCUUUAAACUUUCGAAUAAGCACACUAGGAUCAUAUGGUGUUUGAGAAAUUUUGCAGUCCGAAUAUCCAAAGCGACUCAAAAUCUUCUCAACAUAGUGGGAUUGCAGAAGUGUAAUCCCACCCUCAUCAUCUCUCAAAAGCUUGAUGUUCAAGAUAACAUCAGCCACCCCAAGGUCCUUCAUCUCAAAGUUUUGAGACAGAAAAGACUUAACCUCCUCAAUUACUUUGAGGUUGGUUCCAAAUAGCAGUAUGUCGUCAACAUACAAGCAUAAUAUAACUCCUUCGCCCCCACCAUGGCGAUAGUAUACACAUUUGUCAGCUUCAUUAACAACGAAGCCAACAGAUGUCAGAGUUGUAUUAAACUUCUCAUGCCAUUUCUUAGGUGCUUGUCUCAGACCAUAUAACAAUUUCAGCAACUUACACACCUUUCCUUCCUGACCUUCUAUCACAAAGCCAUCUGGCUGUUGCAUAUAGAUUUCCUCAUUUAGCUCUCCAUUCAGGAAAGCCGUCUUAACGUCCAUUUGAUGAACGAGAAGAUCAUGCGAGGCCGCCAAUGAGAGUAGUACUCGAAUGGUGGUCAGUCUAGCCACAGGUGAAUAAGUAUCAAAGAAAUCUUCUUCUUCUUUCUGGGCAUAGCCCUUGGCCACAAGCCUAGCCUUGUACUUUUCAAUCGUACCAUUGGGCCUAAGCUUACUUUUGAACACCCACUUGCAUCCCAAUGGUUUGCAACCAUAUGGACAAUCAGUAAUUUCCCAUGUCCCAUUAGCCAUGAUGGAAUCCAUCUCGCUACGGACUGCAUCUUUCCAGUAAUCAGCAUCUGGAGAAGCAUACGCUUCUGAAAUAGAAGUGGGAUUAUCAUGCACGAGGUAUACGAAUAAAUCAUCACCAAAGGUCUUUGCAGUCCUUUUUCUCUUGCCCCUACCAAGAGUUUCCUCGUCAUCCUCCUCAGGAUUAACAUCAUGUGUUUGUUCAUAAUAUUUCAUAGGAAUGGCAGGCUCGGGAGUUAUCUCAGAUUCCUGUCUAGAAGUGCUUUGCAUAUCUCUCAUGGGAAAUAUAUCCUCAAAGAAUGUAGCAUCCCUCGACUCCAUUAUUGUACCAACCUUCACAUCAGGUACCUCAGAUUUCACUAUUAGAAAUCUAUAGCCUACGCUAUUCUUAGCGUAUCCCAAAUUAACGCAGUCCACAGUCUUUGGUCCAAGCUUACGCUUCUUGGGGAUCGGUACAUUGACUUUCGCCAAGCAGCCCCAAGUACGUAAGUACGANNNNNNNNUCCUCUUCUUUCUUGUCGUCCUUCUCUUCGACCACUCCUCGUAGGGAGUGACCUCAUUAUCUUUUGUAGGAACCUUAUGCAGGACAUGACACGCGGUCAAUAUAGCCUCCCCCCGCCAUCCUUGGAUAAACCCGAUGUAUCUAACAUGGCAUUAACCAAAUCAGUUAGAGUACGGUUUUUCCGCUCGACAACCUUGACUGGGGUGAAUAGGAAGGCGUCCUCUCAUGAGUAAUGUCGUGUUCCGCACAAAAUGAAUCAAAUUCGUUUGAGAAGUGCUCUCCACCACGAUCAGACCAGACUCAUUUAAUUUUCUUUUCAAGUUGAUUCCCAACUUCUGCCUUAUAGAUUUUAAAGUAGUGUAGAGCCUCAUCUUUAGUAUUUAACAGAUACACAUAGCAAUAUCUAGUGGAAUCAUCUAUCAAUGUCAUGAAAUAUUUCUUUCCACCUUUAGUCAACACAUCAUUCAUCUCACAAAGAUCAGAAUGUAGGAGUUCUAAUGAUGCCAAGUGUCUCUCCUCUGCAGCCUUGUGAGGCUUGCGAGGUUGCUUUGCUUGCACACACGAAUGACACUUAGAACCUUUGGCUAAAGUGAAAGUCGAUAUUAAAUUCAGUUUUGCUAGCCGCGACAUAACACCAAAACUUAUGUGACAAAGACGUGAAUGCCAAACCUCAGAUUCAUUAACACUCGGAUGAAUAUUGUUCACGACUUUAUUACAAAAAUCUGCAAGGGAAAGGCGGAACAAACCUCUGCAUUCAUAACCUUUACCAACAAAAAGUCCAUAUUUUGUAACAACUACUUUUUUAGACUCGAAUACCAACUUAAACCCUUCUCUACACAGAAGGGAGCCACUAACGAGGUUCUUCUUGAUGGCGGGGACAUGCUGCACGUUCUUCAGCUGCACGAUCCUUCCCGAAGUAAACUUCAGAUCGACCCCGUCAACACCAAGAACAGAAGCACUCGCGCCAUUCCCCAUCAAUACGGACCCGUGACUUGUGGCCUGAUAAGAAGAGAACAAUGAGAUGUCAGCACACACAUGAAUAUUUGCACCCGUGUCCACCCACCAAUCGGUGGACUGACAAACUGAAAAUACAAUAAAUAAAUUACCGUACCAGAUGCACCACUUUCAUUGUUGCCCACAAUCAUAUUAGCAGACUUAGAGUCCUGCGCCGGCUUCUUGUACUUGUUUGGGCACUUGUUUGCCCAAUGUUCCUCUGAACCACAAGUAAAGCAUCCCUCUCCCUUCUUAUUCUUCUUGAAUGUCUUCUUUCCCUUCUUUUUGAAGUCGGUAUUCUGUUGGACAGAAUUUUUUUCCUUGGACUUGUGGGAAUUGAAGUUCCUCUGAUGUACCAUAUUGGCAACAAAAGAGCUUUCGGCCGCUUUUCCAUUGGAGUCCUUUGCUCUCGAAUUCUGCUCAACACUCAGAUGGCCGAUGAUGUCCUCCACUGAGAACUCACGCCUCUGUUGUUUCAAAGUAGUAGUAAAGUUCCUUCAGGAAUUAGUGAGCUUAGCAAUUAUACAGCCCGCGACAAACUUGCUCGGCAAAUUGCACUUAAGAACCUCAAGUUCUUUAGCUAUGCAUAUUAUCUCAUGAGCCUGUUCCAAUACAGAACGAUUGUCAACCAUUUUAUAAUCGUGGAACCGCUCCAUAACAUACAUCUCACUCCCAGCAUCAGUGGCCCCGAAUUUAGAUUCGAGCGCCUCCCACAGCUCCUUGGCAACAUGCAUAUGUAAAUAUGCAUCAACCAGCUUAUCUCCGAUCACGCUAAUGACUGCUCCAAGGAAUAGGACGGUGGCCUCCGCGAACAUCUUCUGUUGUUCAGCAGAGAUCGUUCCCGUGUGAGUGACACCGGCUACCGAGAACACGUUCAUAGCUGUGAGCCAUAAGGCGGUUUUCGUUUGCCAACGCUUGAAAUAAGUACCGGUAAACUUAUCCGGUUUCAGUGCAACAGCAAAACCAUUACUCGAAAAAUUCCUACACACAUUAGGUUUUUGGAUUGUUGAGUAAAUAGCAAUUUUCUGAGUAUAUUAAUCCACGAAAUAAUAACUAGCAUGUCAUUGACUAGACUAGUGACAUACUGAUCAUGAACUAAUCUAGCACAUACUACGCAUAUAGUUGAUACAUCUAUGCGAGUGGGAUAAACAUACCCUAGGUAGGUAGGUAUGAGCUCGGCUCAUUCCUACGGCGGGCGGCGGAGGAGGAGUGUGCGAGGGCAUCCUCUCUUCUCACUCUCCAAUAACAUGUAGAAGAGAGCUCAUUAUAAAGGGGUCCAACUUCUUCUCCACUAACGGGGUGGGACUAAACUUCCCAUCACCACCUUGUCAUGCCACCACCUACAUGGGCCUUUGAAGAUUUCUGAAAUUCUCUUAUGAGCCUAAGGCCCACUACUAAUUUCAAUAGCAUCCUCGAUAUACCUUGUGAGGUGUUUUACAUUAGGCUGAACCGAACCGCCUUUUCAUCUUCUUCUUCUUCAGAAAAGAAGAAAAUACUGCAAUUUUUGUUUGGUUUAAAAAAACAACAAGUAUGACAUGCACAUUCGCACACCCGUCCACAAAUCAAGCAAUUUUUUUCUUUGAAAAAUGCCAGGAAUGACAUGCGCAGUGGCACACAAAUACUUUCAAUUUUUUCCAAGAAAUCGAAUCCUACAAAUGUCAUUAUUAUAUUAUAGAAAGUGUUGGUUCUUAGAACGUCUCCAACAGGUGUUCAAUUUUUUUUAUUAUGUUUAACAUGUUUUUUAUACUUCUGAUAAACAUUUAUACUAAUAAAUCUAAUCCUUUUCGUAAAAAACAACAAGAAGUCAAGUCGUCGUCAAGAGAUCUGGUAGAGGGUCUACAUGGCUUUGUGGCAGCCGGGACGGGCACUCAUGGUGGACGAGUCACUCCCCGAUUAAUGUGCAAGACACGAGGCCCUCGGAUAGUACCAAGUAGCCAAAAUAUUUAUCUAUGUGAUGUGACAUUGAGGCACGGGUAAAUAACUUUAUACCGAAGAAUGCGAAGGAAGCCUUCCCUUUCCUUCUUUAAUAUAUGAUACGCACACUCCUGCGUAUUCGAGAAAAGUCGUCGUCAUCACAAUAAAAAAGAUGAAAUAUGUAUAAUCCAAUUUCUCGAUUCAAUAGAAGCCCAAAGAGGUGCAUAUGGUACCCAAAUAAGAAUAUGAUAGAUAUGUCAAAAACAGGUCUGAUUACACCUAUUCCUAAUCCUAAAUAGAAUGUAAGGACGAAGGGAUUUCUAUGUAAACAGAGUAUCCUAUUUUCAUAUGCUCGAAUGACCCCUUCUUAUAAUAAGAAUGUGCAUGGUCUUGUCCGGUAUGGAAUGGACUUACAAUCUGAUGAUCGAGUCGAUUCCAUGAUUAUAAGUUCAUAACCCUAGCGCUCAUUCCUAUUUUGAACGGAACAGAUCUACUAAUUCUUUUAUUCCAGUUAGUAAGAGGGAUGUUGAACUAAGAAAUAGACCUAAGACCACAGCCUCCCCCCCUGCGGCCCUGCCUUAACUUCAUCCAUCCCCAUUCACCAGUCCCCCACCACUGAAUAAUGAUCAACUCGAUCAAUCACCACGGACACAUCACAGAAUUCACGUCACACGUUCACAUCACGCUGCACGGGCUGGUUAAAGAGACAGUCUAGAACCAUCGGCCACGGCUGUUGGGGUUGGGGAUUGUGCUGUGCAGCGAGGCCGGUGGCAUGUCUCCGUCACGGAACAAGGGGCCUUGCCUCGAGACGUACGGUGGCCUCCAAAUGGAUUCCCUCGAUGGGAUAGCAGCCUUCCCACACGUCCUUCCUAGUGAUUUCGCUCAUGUUGCCGCACCGUUGAGGGCUCUCCGUCGCUCGCUGGCCGCCCUGCUGCCUCGGCGUGCGCUAGACCGUCACACGGAGUGCUGCCUGCGCGACCGCGGUGGUGCAAAAGGUGGCCGCUGUUGUUUUGUUUACCGUGGACGACCGAUCGUGCCGUGGAAUAAGUAUCGGCCAGAACUCAAAAAGUUGUGAGGCAUCACCGUCCCUCUUCUACCGCUUGGGGUAUUCCAAGACGAAAGCAGCACGGCAAAUUAGUUGACGACGAUGGCGACGACACACUGUAUCACCAACCACAAUGGUGCGAGAGAACCAGCGUGUCCUCUGCAAGGUCUCAAGUCUCUCUGUGCCCGAUAGUAAAACUCCGUUAAGAGAUACAUAGAAGAUCCAACUCCAGACGACGGAGUGGACGUGUGAAAAAGAAAAACAAGGAGUGCUACAUCCCGACGUCCAAGCAUGUGGAGCAUAGGUUGUUGUAGGCUUUUAGUGAGCUGUCGGAGGUAGGCAAAGCAUGGGAACCCUGAGCAAAAGAUGCAAGAGCAUGUCUAAAAAGUCGGUCUUUGUUGACAUGUGAUUUUGGCACGAUGCCAAAUGCAGUAAAGAUGGGCUCAAACGAGAAGGUUUUUAUACGAGAAAGUUUAUAUUGCCGAGUGAAAUAACCUUGUUAGACUUGUAAUUGUAUACGUAUUGUAAUCCUUGUAUUAUUGUAUUUGUAUCCAAUGAGGUAUCCCUUAUAUAUAUACAUAUGUUACCGUGGCCGACCCAAGAGGUGUCGAAGCCCACAACAACCCAAAACCCUUUGUCUAUCAUGGUAUCAGACGCGAUCUCGCAAUCCUGACCUACGUCGCCGCCGCUGACCCAAUGUCGUCUUCCGCUGCCUCCAUGGCGGCGACCGUCGCUGCUGCUGUCGCUCUCCAGGAUGCGGACGCUCACGUUGCCCUCUCUGGUUCGGUUUCUGAGUCUUCUCUCACUGAGGGCGUCGCCGACAUGGUACUUUUUGCUACUACCUCUCAUGAAGUCUGGGAUGCAUUGGAGUCUAGUUUCUCCGCUCAAUCAUCAUCCCAGUCUAUGACUACUCGCACUCAGCUCAACGAGACCCGCAAGGAUCACCACUCCGUCACCGUUUUCUUCAACAAGAUCAAGCGCCUUGCUGAUACUCUCGCCUCCAUCGGUGAGCCUCUUCGUGACACGGAGUUCACGUCGUUCAUCCUAAAUGGUCUCGACGCUGAAUAUGAUUCCCUUGUGGAGGUGAUCAAGGAACGCUCAGUGCCUAUCAAACCUCAGGAGCUCUUUCAACGCCUCCUCUCGACGGAGCAGCGUCUCGCCGGCCGUCAUCCGGAUGGGGCCCCCUUGGUCCAUGUUGCCUCCCGCAGCGGCAAAGGGGGUGCCCGUCCUGUCGCUUCACCCUCGACGCCUCCUGCAGGAGGCAAGUGUUGGAAAUAUGCCUUAGAGGCAAUAAUAAAUUAGUUAUUAUUAUAUUUCCUUGUUCAUAAUAAUAUUUUAUUAUCCAUGCUAGAAUUGUAUUGAUUGGAAACUCAAAUACAUGUGUGGAUACAUAGACAACACACUGUCCCUAGUGAGCCUCUAGUUGACUAGUUCGUUGAUCAACGAUGGUCAAGGUUUCCUGGCCAUAGGCAAGUGUUGUCACUUGAUAACGGGAUCACAUCAUUAGGAGAAUCAUGUGAUGGACAAGACCCAAAUUAAAAACGUAGCAUGUGAUCGUGUCAUUUUGUUGCUAUUGUUUUCUGCGUGUCAAGUAUUCAUUCCUAUGACCAUGAGAUCAUGUAACUUACUGACACCGGAGGAAUACCUUGUGUGUAUCAAACGUCACAACGUUACUGGGUGACUAUAAAGGUGCUCUAUAGGUAUCUCCGAAGGUGUCCGUUGAGUUAGCAUGGAUCAAGACUGGGAUUUGUCACUUUGUGUAACGGAGAGGUAUCUCGGGGCCCACUCGGUAAUACAACAUCACAUAUAAGCCUUGCAAGCAAUGUGACUCAAGUGUGAGUCGUGGGAUCUUGUAUUACGGAACGAGUAAAGAGACUUGCCGGUAACGAGAUUGAAAUAGGUAUAGGGAUACCGACGUUCAAAUCUCGGGAAAGUAACAUACCGAAGGACAAAGGGAAUGUUAUACGGGAUUAUAUGAAUCCUUGGCACAAAGGUUCAACCGAUAAGAUCUUCGUAGAAUAUGUAGGAUCCAAUAUGGGCAUCCAGGUCCCGCUAUUGGAUAUUGACCGAGAAGUGUCUCGGUUCAUGUCUACAUAGUUCUCGAACACGCAGGGUCUGCACACUUAAGGUUCGAUGAUGUUUUAGUAUAGUUGAGUUAUAUGUGUUGGUGACCGAAGGUUGUUCGGAGUCCCGUAUGAGAUCACGGAUAUCACGAAGGUUUCCGGAAUGGUCCGGAAACGAAGAUUGAUAUAUAGGAAGUUGGUGUUUGAAUUCCGGAAGGUUUUCGGGCAUUGUCGGCAGUGUGCCGGGAGUGACGAAUGGGUUCCGGGGGCCCACUGGGUGGGCACACCACACCCCAAGGGGUCCACGUGGGUUUAUUGGAAGUACAAUAAGGUAUGAUGGGCUGACAAAGUUAUCCAAGGAAAGCCCAUGAGGAAAAAGUGGAAAAACCAAAAGAGGUGGAAAAAUAAGGAAGGAGUCAUAAUCCAAGUGGGAUUGGAGAAGGACUCCUCCCUCCCACUUCGGCCGACCCAAGGAGGGUUUCCUUGGUGCGCAAAGGCUGCCCAAGGCUGCCUCUCUCCUCCUCCUAUAUAUACUAGAGGUUUAGGGCUUUUGAGAAACACCUUUAUCCACGUGCAACUCAAACCUACACCUCGUAGUUCUUCCUCUAGAUUAGAUUCUUGCGGAGCUCAGGCGGAGCCCUGCAGGAAUAGAUCAUCACCAACACCGGCGCGCCGUCAUGCUGCCGGAGAACUCAUCUACUUCUCCGUCUCUCUUGCUCGAUCAAGAAGGCCGAGAUCUUCAUCGAGCUGUAUGUGUGCUGAACGCGGAGGUGCCGUCUGUUUGGCGCUAGAUCGGAACGAAUCGUGGGACGACGGUGAUUUGAAUCACGAAGAUGUACCACUACAUCAACCGUGUUUCUCAAUGCUUCCCGCUGAGCGAUCUACAAGGGCAUGUGUUCCUCUCGUAGAUGAACAUCACCAUGACAGGUCUUCGUGUGCGUAGGAAAUUUUUUGUUUCCCAUGCAACGUUCCCCAACGGCAAGGGCGCCGGGGCAUCUGCCACAUCCCCUACACUGGCCGAGGCGCGUCCCACCAUUGUCGUCCACAACGGGCGUCCACGCGCUUGAUGUGCCGCCUGUGGAGCUCCUGCAGCCUGCCAGCUGUGCGGCCUCGCUGGUCAAGACUGACUUCCUCGAUCUUGGCAACAACGGAAAGGGCAAUGAGCGUCAAGCCAACAUGGCGCAGCAGCAGGGAUAUACUCCAUCAUAUCCGGUUGAUCCCACCUGGUACAUGGACACGGGUGCCACUGAUCAUGUAACCAGUGAACUUGAUAAGCUUGAUGUGCGUGAGGCCUACCACGGGCCUGACAAGGUUGACACGGCUAAUGGGGCAGGUAUGCACAUCUCUCAUAUUGUUCAGGCAUCCCUUCUUACACAUACAUCUCGGCAGUUGCAUCUUAAGAAUGUUCUUCGAGUCCCCACUGUUGCACGUAAUUUGCUCUCUAUUCCUAAACUUACUUAUGACAAUAAUGUGUUUUGUGAGUUUCACCCGUUUGUUCUUUUUAUCAAGGACCGGGCCACUCGGGACGUGCUUCUUAAAGGUCGACUCCGCAAUGGACUAUAUGCGCUUGAUGUGCCGCGAUCUGUCUCCCUACCUGUCUCUCAAGUUCUUAGUGGUGUUAGAGUGUCCCCAUCACAAUGGCACUCUAGUCUUGGUCAUCCUGCCACGCCCAUUGUUCGCCAUGUUCUUCAUUGUCAUGAGCUACCAUUUGUGUCUAGUACUAAAGAUGUCUCAGUUUGUGAUGCUUGCCAGCAGGGAAUAAGUCAUCAAUUACCUUUUUCUGUUUCUAGUCAUGUAGUAAAAACUCCUCUUGAGCUUGUGUUUUCUGAUGUUUGGGGUCCUGCCCAAAUGUCUGUCAGUGGUCAUGAGUAUUAUGUCAGUUUUAUUGAUGCUUAUAGUCGGUUUACUUUGAUUUAUCUUCUUAAAGACAAGUCUGAUGUGUUUGAUAUUUUUCUUAAAUUUCAAGCACAUGUUGAGCAUCUCCUACAACACUAGAUUAUACAUGUAUAGUCGGAAUGGGGGGUGAGUACUGCAAUCUAAAUUAUUUCUUUGAAAAACUUGGGAUUUCGCAUCGACUGUCUUGUCCUCAUACACAUCAGCAGAAUGGUUCAGCUGAACGUAAGCAUCGUCAUAUUGUUGAAACUUUUUUAACCUUGCUAGCUCAUGCUUCGGUUCCCUUUCGUUUUUGGAGUGAUGCUUUUACUACAGCCUGUUUUCUCAUAAAUAGGCUUCCUUCGCGGCUUCUUGGCAUGAAAACUCCACUCGAACUCUUGCUUAAUGAGACUCCUGAUUACACAUUCCUUAAAGUUUUCAGUUGUGCAUGUUGGCCGCAUCUCCGUCCUUACAAUCUCCGCAAACUUGAGUUCCGCUCUAAAAAAUGUGUUUUUUCUGGGGUAUAGUUCGGUGCACAAAGGUUAUAAAUGUCUCCAUGUUCCGAUAAAUCGUGUGUACAUCUCGUGUGAUCUUGUCUUUGAUGAGCAUGUUUUUCCUUUUUCCAAUCUUCCAACCUCUACCACCACACCUACUCCGCCUCUGCAUUCAUAUCCUAUAUUGCCUGAUCAAUUUGUAGAUGCUGCACACUCGCCUUCUUUGUUCUCUAACCAUGGUGCAGGAACUGGUCGAGGUGCUCGCCUUCUUCUCCUAGAUGAACCAUCCGCUGAUGCUGCUAAGAGUUCGAUGGAGCAUGUUGAUGCUAUUGCUCUCUGCAUGGGACAUGCAGGGUCUUCUGUGCCGGUGCUUGCGCGUGCUUCGCAAGUGCACCAGGCUACAACAUCGUCGGCGUCGCCUACGACGACUGUGCCAGCCUCGCCUACGCCGACUGUGUCGGCCCCGCCUGAGCCAACUGAGCUGGCCUCGACUGUGUCGACCGAGCCGGCCUUGCUCGUGUCGACCGAGUUGGCCGUACCUGCGUCGACAGCGCCAACCUCGUCCUCAUCACCUGCAUCGCCUGUAAGGAAGCCAUCCGCUGGCCGUACGUUGCUGCUCCCGUCUAUUGCGGGUUCUCCGUCGCCGAGACAGCCGUCCCCGGCUGUUGAUGGGUUGCCUCCGCUCUCCCCUAGUGGACGGGUGUGCCGGCUACACUGGUUGCUCCGUCUUCAUCAACGGCUCUUGUGGCUUCGACCUACUCCACUGCUCCUGCUGCUAUGCGUCAUCAUACUCGCAGCAGGAGCGGCAUUGUUCGACCGCGACAACGAACCGAUGGCACGGUUGCAUGGCUCGCGGAUUGCGUGGCUCACUCUGAGUCCGAUCCUACUGCUGNNNNNNNNNNNNUGCUGAACCUCGACAUUAUCAGGUAGCUAUGGAUAUCCCUCACUGGAGCUCGGUGAUGGAACAAGAAUAUGAGGCCUUGCUUAAAAAUAACACAUGGCGUCUUGUUCCUCCGAAAAGUGGUGUCAAUGUUAUUGAUUCAAAGUGGGUAUUCAAGGUUAAGGGACAUGCUGAUGGCUCUGUUGAAAGGUAUAAGGCUCGGCUUGUUGCUCGCGGGUUCAAACAGCGACAAGGUCUUGACUAUGAGGACACUUUCAGUCAUGUCGUCAAGCCUACGACUAUUCGUUUGCUGCUAUCACUUGCUGUUACUCACGGAUGGUCCCUUAGACAGCUAGAUGUUCAGAAUGAUUUUCUUUAUGGUGUUCUUGAGGAAGAGGUUUAUAUGCAUCAACCCCCUGGUUUUGUUGAUCCGGAUCGCCCACAACAUUUGUGUCGUCCGGUGAAGGCUCUUUAUGGUCUGAAACAGGCACCUCGUGCCUGGCAUGCGCGUCUUGGUGCUGCUCUUCGUGCACAAGGAUUUGUUCCUUCGACAACUAAUAUGUCUUUGUUCAUGCUACGGAGUCCUACUGUCACUAUGUAUUUGUUGGUAUAUGUCGAUGAUAUCAUACUGCUCAGCUCGUCGGGAUUUGCUGCGGAUCAGCUCAUUUCUGCUUUGAGUGGUGAUUUUGCUCUUACUCAUCUUGGUCUGAUUCACUAUUUCCUCGGCUUGGAGGUCUCUCAGUCAGAUGCUGGUCUAACUCUCACUCAGCAGAAGUACUCUCAGGACCUGCUUCGUCGUGCUGGUAUGCUUCAGUGUAAGACUGCUACCACUCCUAUGUCGUCUUCUGAUCGACUCUCUGCACUUGAUGGUACUCUUCUCUCUUCGGAUGAUGCUACUCAGCAUCGCAGUAUUGUUGGUGGCUUGCAGUAUUUGACGAUUACUCGUCCGGAUAUAUCCUAUGCGGUUAACAGUGUGUGCCAGUUUCUUCAUGCUCCUCGCGAUACUCACUGGACAGGUGUGAAACGCAUUCUGCGCUAUGUUUGGCUGACUACUGCUCUCAGUCUGCAUCUUCGGCCUGCUCCUUCUGGUUCUCUCUCUGCUUUCUCUGAUGCGGAUUGGGCUGGUAGUCCAUAUGACAGGCGAUCCACGGGGGGAUAUGAAGUAUUCUAUGGUUCUAAUUUGAUCGCCUGGAGUGCUCGUAAGCAGGCCACAGUGUCUCGUAGUAGUACUGAGGUUGAGUAUAAAGUUGUUGCCAAUGCCACCGCUAAACUUAUUUGGGUUCAGUCUCUCCUUCGAGAGUUGGGAAUCUCUCAGGAUCGUUCACCUGUUCUUUGGCGUGAUAACAUUGGUGCCACAUACCUUUCUUCGAACCCGGUAUUUCAUGCCCGAACGAAACACAUCGAAGUUGACUAUCAUUUUGUAAGAGAACGAGUUUCGCAGAAGUUGCUUCAAAUCAAGUUCAUCCCGUCGAAAGAUCAACUUGCUCGCAUCUUCACGAAACCAUUGCCACUACCUCAAUUUGAGGGUUGUCGCCGCAAUCUUAAUCUUCUGAAUUCUUCAGAGCCCGGUUAAGAUUGAGGGAGGGUGUUAGACUUGUAUUUGUAUAUGUAUUGUAAUCCUUGUAUUGUUGUAUUUGUACCCGAUGAGGUGCCCCUUAUAUAUAUGUUACCAUAGCCUACCCAAGAGGUGUCGAACCCACAACAACCCAAAACCCUUUGUCUAUCAAACCUUGAUGUUUAGGCCACAUGGAUUGUCUUCGUCUCGAUUGAUUUUGAUAUAUAAAUUGUCCAAAAUCCGAAGUCAUAUGCAGCCUGCAGAGGCGAAACGAGUUCAGACUGUGUUUUCAUUUGGGAAAACCGAGUGAAAAGCUUAUCAUCCGAGUGAAAAUAUAGCUAUCCGAGUAAAGGCUUGAUGACCGAGUGAAAAGUUUUCAAAUAAGAGUGGAACUUUGGUCAAGGAGUCCAGAUACAUGAAUUCCGAGUGAAAAAUUGCUGUCCGAGUGAGAAAUUUCACUCGACCGACUAAAGGGCUCCAAAUCCGAGUGAUUUAGUCAAAUGGUAAAAAUUGGCCUGUAUGGUCGUCUAGAUGGCCUCGGAUGGAAAAGUGUUCAACAUAAUGUUGUUUGUAAUGUCGAAAUGGUCAACUUUUCUGUUAAGGUCAUUAUCAUCUGAGGUAGUACACGGCCUACAGGGAUGCUACAACACUCGGACGGUUCAGUCCACUACAUAACCGAGGUGAUUCAAAGUUAAAGAUGACCUCGUGGAGUAUUCAAGAUGACUUUAUUUGGAAAAGUGAACAACAUACGGAUUGUUGGCCUCAUCGAGGCACACAAAGUUAAUGUUUCGACUAUCUCCAUCGGAGGUCAUAUACAGAUUCCACGGCCCACGCAAGGAGCAAGACAGAAGAUUGGGCCAGAUUUGGGUUGAAUCCGAAUUAGACUGGAAUUAGAAUUCUAGGACGUGAUUUGGUGUAAUUUUCUUGUAAGGAAAGCCUAGAUGAAUCCUUUGCUUGUACGGGAAGUCCAUCCACCUUUUAUAUAUUGGAGGUGAUGGCCGAUUAAAACAACACACAAUCAAAACAUCAAUAUACUGCUUUUUCAUCUAUGUUUUAUCUCUCCAUCGUAUUUUAUCUUUUGUUCUUCGCCGUUCCUCAAGUUUGAGAGCUGCGAAUCCCGAGGCCCUAGGGUGAGCAAAUCGACCUAGGGAAUCCCAUAGCCGCCGCACUCCCUGACGGGGUCCCUCCCGGGCGUGUGGGGUUUCGGGUCCUCAAAAGCAUCCGCCGACUGUCUUGCGUAUCGCGUUGUCGAUCAGGUCUCCUUCGAUGUGAUUUGCGGUGCAUAACCCCCGGCAUCGAGGGUACACGUGACAUGUUCAUGUGUCAACACACUUUUUGGCGACUCCGUUGGGGACGAAAGAUCCNNNNNNNNNNNNNNNNNNNNNNNNNNNNNNNNNNNNNNNNNNNNNNNNNNNNNNNNNNNNNNNNNNNNNNNNNNNNNNNNNNNNNNNNNNNNNNNNNNNNGAAGAUGAAUGAAGGCAAGGUACAUCGUAAGUGGAUCAAGCCAACUUUUGACAUGUUGUUGUCCAAGUAUGUCAAUCAAUCAGCCGGUUCUAGCUCUAAUCGGUCAUCGUACCUGAAGCGACCAAGGUCACCAUCAGCUGAUAUGUUCAGUCGGUAUGCAAAACCGACUGGAUCAAGGGUACCGUUUCCACAAGAACAACGACAACCUGUUUGGGAUCGACUUGGAUGCUCAUAUGAAAACCGACUGAAUAUUGGUGUCCAUCACUCGGUUGGUCAAAAUAUGCCACUGAGUGGAAAUUACCCGAGUGUAAGAGUGCACCCGAGUGAAAGUUAUCUGAAUGAAAGAAUACUGCCGAGUGGAUACUAUUCAGUUAAACGUGUGAGUGGAUUUCAUCCGAGUAAAAGGGUGCGCCCGAGUGAUAACUUUGUAGGCCAAAAAAGUCAACAAGAGUGGCGUGUCAAGUUGCCAAGUGUUGCACCAGUGAAGUCAAGAAAAGGCAAGGAAAAAGUCAAUACUGACUCACUCAUCUUGGGAGACAAAACAUUCACCAUACAACAGCCGACUGUGCAUAACAAUCUGACUGAGCCGAUACUCGCUAUCGCGCCAAAGCAUUCGGCUAAUAAUCAUGAGGUAAGUACUAGCCAAGCCAAGCCACGAGAUCCUAGAUACACUCAACCGAGGUGGUGUCCUCCAGGGCUAACGAAAACACAAAAGAGGAAACUACAGAGGUUAAGGAAUCAAGAGAUGGCAAAACGAUAGGUCGAGAAGCAAAGAGAUAAAUUGUCAAAUGAUACUCGGCCCAUGGUGCCUACAAAACAAGUAUAGAAGCCUAAACAAAUGGAAGAUGCAACGGCUUCUACACCUAUCACAGCAAGACCUACACCACUGACGGAGGACGAUGCAGCCAUUGCUACAUCAUCCACUUCACCUUUUAUUACUUCUUCACUUGGAGAUAUUUCGGAGUCCGUGGACAUGCUUGAGGAUGGAAAUGAUAUUUUCGACUAUGAGCCUACACCAGUUCAUGAAGGUAUGGAUAUCAAUAUGGUGUACUAUCUACCCACUGAGUUUCGUGCUGUGAAUGAAGAAGGAGAGGUGGCUCAACUAGAUUUUGGCCCUAAAAAUGCAAUAUUCGAGAAGCCAAAAGAACCAGUGACGCACUUGAAACCAUUGUACCUCAGAGGUCAUAUCAAUGGAUCACCACUCACUCGGAUGCUUGUUGAUGGUGGUGCUAUGGUGAAUCUCAUGCCCUAUUCGGUCUUCAAGAAAUUGGGUUUGCCCGAUGAUGAAUUAAUCAAGACCAAUAUGGUGCUCAAUGGGUUUGAAGGCAAACAGAAAACUGAAGCCAAAGGUGUGAUGUAUGUGGAACUUACACUUGGAAGGAAACUUUGGCUACUGUAUUCUUUGUCGCCGAGGUGCAAGGUAAUUAUAAUGUGAUUUUAGGUCGCGAUUGGGUUCAUGCAAACCAGUGCGUGCCAUCUACUAUGCACCAGUUCUUAAUUCAGUGGGUUGGCAAUGAAGUGGAAGUCAUUCAUGCAGAUAACUCGGCUUGUGUUGCUUUGGCCGAUGCAUCAGUGAAUUGGCAACAUUCCAAUGCUACUUGCUUGACAGGGCGUGACCUAUCAGAGUUUGAUUUUCUUAGCGCUACAAAGAGUGGUUUUGUGCCAGUUUCUUUAAAGCCGGUUGGAGGCAAUUGGCUCCAAGGUAUGAUAUGUUUAAAAGGAUUCUAAUUUCGAGUGGUUGCAAAAAGGUCUUGCAAAAUAUCGGUCUACCGAGAACGAUAUGUACGAAUCUAUAGAAGAGUUAGAUGACAUGGAUAAAUUAGGACAAGGUUUUACAUCGGCUGAUCCGUUAGAAGAGAUAGAUAUAGGAGAUGGUUCGGUCACUCGGCUGACUUUUGUAAACAAGAAUUUGAGAGCCGAUAGUAAAGCUGAGUUGAUUGGGAUAUUGAAAGAAUAUGUUUGUUGCUUUGCAUGGGAAUAUCAUGAGAUGCCAGGUUAAGCCAAGAUCUAGUGGAGCAUCGGUUACCUAUAAAGGCCGGUUUUAGACCUAAAAACAAUCAGCCAGAAAGUUUAAUCCAAGAACGUAUGAUCAAAUCAAGGAGGAGAUCGGUCGUUUGCUGAAACUAAUUUUAUUAGACCUUGCAGGUUUGCCGAGUGGAUUUCUAACAUUGUACCAGUGGAGAAAAAGGGGUCGGGCAUGUUAAGGGUGUGCAUUGAUUUCAGAGAUUUGAAUAGGGCUACACCAAAUAAUGAGUAUCCCAUGCCAACAGCCAACAUGCUUAUUAAUGAUGCUUCUGGACAUAAGGUUAUCAACUUUCUUGAUGGUAAUGCGGGUUACAAUCAAAUUUUUAGGGCUGAAGAGGACAUGUCCAAGACAACAUUUCGUUGCCCUGGUUUCCUUGGUCUAUUCGAGUGGACAGUGAUGACAUUCGGGUUAAAAAAUGCUCGCACCACAUAUCAAAGGGCUAUGAAUUUAAUUUUCCAUGAUUUACUCGGUAUUAUACUUGAAGUCUAUAUUGAUGAUAUUUUUGUCAAAUCGGAUGCCUUUGAGUCUCAUUUGGUCGAUUUGUGUUUAGCAUUUGAAAGAAUGAAAAAAUACGGACUGAAGAUGAAUCCUUUGAAGUGUGCAUUCGGUGUGUCGGCUGGAAAGUUUUUGGGUUUCAUUAUUCAUGAGAAUGGCGUGGAAAUUGAUCCCAAAAAGAUAGAAGCUGUACAAAAAGUGGAGGCUCCAACAUGCAAGAGAAAUAUGCAAAAAUUCCUUGGCAAGGUUAAUUAUUUGAGAAGGUUCAUAGCUAAUUUGUCGGGGAAGGUUGAUGCGUUCACUCCUAUCCUUCGGUUAAAGAAUGAUGUUGAUUUUACUUGGGGGGGGGGACAACAAGAGUCAUUCAACAUGAUCAAGAAUUAUUUGAGCACUCCCCCGGUGAUGAAAGGACCCAAACAUAAAGAGCCCUUUAGGCUUUACAUUGCGGCGGAGGAAGGUGUUAUUGGUGCUGUUUUGAUUCAAGAGACCGAAGGAAAAGAGCAUGUUAUGACAUAUUUGAGUCGACGUUUAUUAGAUGUCGAGACAAGGUACACAUUUAUUGAAAAAAUAUGCCUUUGUUUAUAUUACGCUUGCACAAAGCUAAGACCUUACUUAGUGUCGAGUGCUUGCAUAAUAGCUUGUCAAAUCGAUGUCAUUAAGUAUAUGUUGCAUAGGACAAUUCUUAGUGGUAGAUUUGGCAAGUGGGCUUAUGCUUUGAUUGAAUAUGAUUUGGCAUAUGAAUCUUUGAAAUCCAUGAAAGGAUAGAUAGUUUCUGAUUUCAUUGUUGAGCAUCGGAUUAAUGACAAGCACGAUGUUGAUGUAAACACUCUCUCGGUAGUACCGUGGAGAUUACAUUUUGAUAGUUCAGUUUGUAGCAAUGGACAAGGUGUUGGUAUUGUUUAUAUAUCUACCCAUGGUGCUGUUUUUGAAGCCUCGUGUCGAUUAGAAUAUUAUUGCACAAAUAAUCAAGCCGAAUAUGAAGCACUGUUAUUCGGCCUAGAGAUGUUGAUAGUUGUAGGCGCUGCACAUAUUGAGGAUUUUGGUGAUUCGUUAUUAGUGGUACAAAAAAUAUCCAGAGUUUUUCAAUGUAUUGACAAAUCACUUAAUAUUUAUCUUGAAAAAUGUCUAGAUAUAAUUUCUGCUUUGGAUUAUUUUAGCAUUGCUCAUAUAUCUAGACAUGACAAUUGGAGAGCGAAUGAUUUGGCACAACAAGCAUCCGGCUAUCAUGUUUAUCAUGGCAUGUUUCAUAUUUCUAAAAAGGCGAUGUAUAGCUUUGCCAGUAUGAGAUAGGCCGAACCAGAACAUACAACUUUGGCCACUAACAAAAAAUCUAGUACAAGUGAAAAUCUAGACUGGAGGAAGCCCAUUAUGGAUUACUUGUGUGAUCCGGGUGAAAGGGUGGACAGGGCUGUUCGGCGUAUAGCUUUCAAAUAUGUGAUGAGCGAUAAUGAACUUUAUCGCCUAACAGUUGAUGAUAUUCUUUUGAAGUGCUUGGACGAAGACCAAGCUAGAAUUGCUAUGGGAGAGGUACAUGAAGGUAUUUGUGGAACUCAUCAGUCGGCUCCCAAGAUGAAGUGGUUGUUGCGACGUGCUGGGUUUUAUUGACCGACGAUAAUUAAUGAUUGCUUCAGGUAUUAUAAAGGAUGUGAAGCUUGUCAAAAAUUUGGUGAUAUUCAGUUGGCUCCUACUACUAUGUUACAUCCUGUUAUCAAGUUGUGGCCUUUUAGAGGAUGGGGUUUAGACUUCAUUGGACAAAUUCAUCCAUCUUCUUCAAAUGGGCAUCGGUUCGUGUUGGUGGCAACCGAUUAUUUCACUAAAUGGUGUGAAGCAGUACCUCUCAAGAACAUGACGCAUACGGAGGUAAUUCAAUUCAUAACCGAACACAUUAUUCAUAGAUUCGGCAUUCCUUAGACGUUAACUACAGAUCAAGGUUCGUCUUUCAUGUCACAUCAAGUUAGAGUAUUUGCCAAAUCGUACAACGUAAAGUUGCUCAAUUCAUCUCCGUAUUAUGCCCAAGCUAAUGGACAAGCUGAGUCUAGCAACAAAAUAUUGAUUAAACUCAUCAAGAAGAAGAUUGAGGAUAAUCCAAGAAAAUGGCAUGAGUUGUUGUCUGAGGAUUUAUGGGCACAUAGAAUCUCGAGACAUGGUGCUACAAAGGUAACUCCGUAUGAGCUAGUAUACGGUCAAGAAGCUGUUAUACCACUAGAACUAAAUUUGAGUGCUUUGAGAAUAGCCAAAAAAUGAUUUAUCGGCAGUGGACUUUUAUGAUUUGAUGAUGGACAAUAUUGAUGAAGUUGCGGAUAAACGUUUGGCUGCAUUAAAGGCCAUAGAGAAGGACAAGUUGAGGGUAGCGAGAGCUUACAAUAAAAAGGUCAAGUUGAAGAAUUUUCAAAUUGGCGAUCUUGUGUGGAAAGUAAUUCUGCCGAUUGGUUCUAGAGAUAGAAAAUUCGGGAAGUGGUCUCCAAACUGGGAAGGUCCUUUUAGGAUUGCAAGAAUAGUUCCUAGAAAUUCAUAUUUGGUGGAAUACAUACAAGGAGUAUUAUUACCUCGAGCUCUCAAUGGCAGAUAUCUCAAGAAGUACCACCCGAGUGUAUGGCAAGAAGCCUAAUUAGGCAAUGGACGAAAAAUGAUUAUCGCCCUUAUCAUAAAUAUGGCCGAUACAAAAUUACCGCAGUGAGAAAUAUAAAUGGCCGAUGGAGUGUUGGCAUCGUCCUUAGGACAAAUGUAGUGCAAAUUAUUUUUCGGCAUGCAAGCUUUACCAAAAAACAAGGGGCAUGUGUUGACACCUCAUUUUAGCAUGAUGCCAAAUGCAGUAAAGAUGGACUCAAACGAGAAGGUUUUUUAUACGAGAAAGUUCAUAUUGCCGAUUGAAACAACAUUGAUGUUUAGACCACAUGGAUUGUCUUCGUAUCGAUUGAUUUUGAUAUAUGAAUUGUACAAAUCCAAAGUCGUAUGCAGCCUGCAGAGGCGAAACGAGUUCAGGCUAUGUUUUCAUUUCGGAAAACUGAGUGAAAAGCUUAUUAUCCGAGUGAAAAUAUAGCUAUCCGACUGAAGGCUUGAUGACUGAGUGAAAAGUUUUCAAAUACGAGUGGAACUUCGGUCAAGGAGUCCAUAUACAUGAAUUCCGAGUGAAAAAAUGUUGUCCGAGUAUGAAAUUUCACUCGAACGACUAAAGGGCUCCAGAUCCGAGUGAUUUAGCCAAAAGGUAAAAAUUGUCGUGUAUGGUCAUCUAGAUGGCCUCCGAUGGAAAAGUGUUCAAUAUAAAGAUUGUUCGUAAUGUCCAAAUGGUCAACUUUGCUUUAAAGGCUAUUAUCAUCUGAGGUAGUACACAGCCUACAGGGACUCUACAACACUUGUACGGUUCAGUCCGCUACAUGACGGGGGCGGAUUCAAAGUUAAAGAUGACCUCGUGGAGUAUUUGAGAUGGCUAUAUUUGGGAAAGUGAUCAACAUACGGAUUGUUGGCCUCAUCGAGGCACACAAAAUUUAUGUUUGGACCGUCUCCAUCGGAGGUCAUAUACAGAUUCCACGGUCCACGCAAGGAGCAAGACAGAAGAUUGGGCCAGAUUUGGGCUGAAUCCGAAUUAGACUAGAAUUAGAAUCCUAGGACGUGAUUUGCUGUAAUUUUCUUAUAAGGAAAGCCUAGAUGAAUCCUUUGCUUGUACGGGAAGUCCAGCCGGCUCUAUAUAUAUUGGAGGUGAUGGCCGAUUAAAACAACACACAAUCAAAACAUCAAUAUACUACUUUUUCAUCUAUGUUUUAUCUCUCCAUCGUAUUUUAUAUCUCGUUCUUUGAUGUUCCUCAAAUUUGAGAUCUGCGAAUCCCGAGGCCCUAUGGGCAAGCGAAUCGACCUAGGGCAGCCCAUAGCCACCUCACUCCUUGACGGGGUCCCUCCCGGGCGUGUGGGGUUUUGGGUCCUCAAAAGCAUCCGCCGACUGUCUUGCGUAUCGCGAUGUCGGUCGGGUCUCCUUCGACGUGAGUUGCGAUGCAUCACCCUCGGCAUCGAGGGUACUCGUGACGUGUUCAUGUGUCAACAGUCUCAUCGUAAGUGAUCGAGAAGUCGAAGCUGGAUCUUUCAGGAUGUUUUUCACAUGAUAAUGUUCGCACGUGAUACUUUGAGGCCGAGACAUCAUAGUCAUGUGAUAUGGAUAGUUUCUCUUCGAUGAGUUGUGAUCUGUUUGGUUGCACUUGAGCCACACCUAAGUUUUUUGGGCCUAGGCAUUCUGGUGUGUGACCCUAACGAUGUCCAUUGAUGUCGCAUUUGUAUUGUCCCUAUGCUCAAGAUCUAGUGAUUUUUAAUGUUUUUUCCUUUAUCUUUCUUUUUAGGUUUUUAUUCGGUUUUCCAUGGUUAGCUGAAAAUGUUAUAUUUUUGGAUCUCUUUUUUAUAAACUGAACCAACUCUCUUCUUCUUAAUGAAAUGUUUCCUGCCCUUGCAUGUGGUUUCUUAAAAAAGAUCUUUAAAAGAUCACCCAUGCGCAAACAUCUAUUUUUGUGCUGCCGAAAACGAAACGAGAGAAGGUCGUUGUCUGAAAACCCAAUUUGUUCUUUUCUCGGAAAGUAGGGAUCGACGUAUUGUGCCAUGAUGAUUAGGCUUAGCCACAUUGCUCCUUUUCACAAAGUUUGAACAGAGUAUUCUGAGAUCAUCGGAUGCCAGCUCAGACAGUUCCCUAUUUGGUACCCAGGCAUUACGAUUCACUACUCGUGUCUAACUAUUACGGUGUGGAAAUAUGUAGAACAAAGACUAGAGAAACACAUUUACAUUUGGAAGACCAGACACCGAAUAGGGAACUGCCUUAGAAACACAUUCACGUCGGCAUAACUCUUGUCUUAUGGGUUGUUUGGUUGUGAUCAAUUUCGUCCUUAGCAAUAUGGUUUAUACAGGUUGUCCUUCUUUCCCUUACUGAAAGGUGUUCUAUAGAGACCGGGUUAUUUUAAAUACAAUUUUUUCUAGCAGCAUGAUAAAUAAUCAAAGAAAUACUAGCUAACUAGGUGGAAUGUGUUAUGCCGACGUGAAAGUCAAGGGGUCCUAGAAUCCAUGAUCUUGAGAUAAAAACAUUGAUCUUCUCAGUAAUGGAAUUUAAAAUCCCGGAAUGAAGUGUGGCAUAAAAUCAUCCGUAACAAGUACGAGGAUUCCAAAGCCAUUUCUCAACUCCAUUGAAUCCCAAGUAUUCACAUUUUUCCUUGCUUGAUUAAGGUCAGGAAAUUAUUCUCCAAGUGUGUUACUUUCUUGGUUAAGGAUGACUCGCAGUUUGGAUUAUGAGAGGAUACCUGKUUGGGGGGGGGGCACACCACUCAUGGUACAAUAAUAAGAUACAUAUUGGAUUGUUAGACAUAACUUUAUCAUAACCGCAUAUGUCUUGGCACAAGCAAAUCUUGGUAUUUCUUUCUGUAUGGACCAACUAGGGCCUUAUCUCGUAACGUGGAAUGAAUUUUUCACACAUUUGGAGCUCAAAUGUCAAAUGAACCAGCCGUGUAUAGAUGAAAUUUGCACUAGAAACUGCAUGUUUUCUGUCAAGUCCUUAUAUGAGGGGAUUGCCUACAAUAAUGUUCAUGUCAGUAAUAAAAAAAUACAAAAUCCAAACAACCACUUAGAGUGAUGACUCCAUACUUGGUCUAUCAUGCCGUGGCCGGGGACCUUUUUAUGAUGACGUCUAUCUGAUAGGAUCAUAAUAUUAGGGAGAUUUUCUCACAUCGAGCAUGGAAAUAUAAUAUUUAGAUAGGGCAUGGCUCGCCUUUUUAAUUUAUGUGUGAGAUGUUCAGUUCCUUUUGAUCGCGUUGGAUGCAUUGGUUGUGUGCAUCACGUUAUGCAUAGGUCACACACUCGCUCAUUGCAUUUGUAUCAUCUCAAUAUAUUGAUUGCAUGAAGAUGUCCUUUAUCCAGAAAUAUAUAUGAGCCUAUCUAUAUCCAAGUUGAGCAUAAGGGGAUGGUGAAAGAAUAUUUAAAUACUCACACCAUAUCAACAAUCUCAAUCGCUAGUUUUUGGUGUGAUGAAAUUUCUUACAAGGUUCACUCCUCACCAAAUGCUAUUUUGAUUUUGCGCAGACACCAACAAGAUAAUCGAUGAUGAAGACUGAUGGAGGUCUAUUUCUGGCUGCUCAACGUUGUGUUGUUGAUCUCCUUCUUUGUGCCAAUUUUGAUGGAAUGGCUAGUGCCUUUUUUAAUAGACCCGAGGGGGUUGUUCUCUCUUCUACCUCGGAUGUUGUAACCAGAGUUUAAGAUUUUGUAUCUUUUUAGGAUAUUAAAAAAAUUAAAAUAGGAAAUAUUAAUUUUGAUGUUUAAUUUCCUUUAGUAAAACAAUAGCUUAGACUCCGGCAUCAAUCUUAAUUUUUAGGAUAUUAUUUCAUAGAAUCGUGCAUUUGGAUGCAUUUCAUAGUUCAGUGAAAACCAAUUUACAUAUAUAGUACAAAAUACAGGGGUCGCAAGUUGGCUACAUCCCACAAAUAGCUAACCACCACUAGCACCUCAAGAGAAGGUCCAUCCUCAAUACCAACCAAAACUGCCGCACAGUCGUUUGAAGUAAUUCCCAUGACAGAUCGUCGCCAUGUUAUAAUAAUCGAUGUCUAAGUCAUCUUUAAUUUAUAUAAACAACAUCAAAUCCAUUGUUUUCUUGUGCUCCUCCAUACAAUGUGGAUCCUCAAUGACAUAAGUAUCAUAUGGUUUAGGUUUGAGCCCAUAAUAUGAUUGAUACUAAGCGUUUUAUAUUUAUUUAUAACUCAGUUACUCAAAAUGCUAUAUCUUUGGGAUAUUUGGUUGCCAUAUUAAUUACAUCAAAAAAUGCUAAAUAUUAAUUAUAAUCGGACCGUUAUAUAGUUAAAAUGUCUCAGCCCAUUCGAGUUUUGCUUGGAAGCAAGAACCUCUUCUUUAUUUUCGUUUUUUGCCCAAGAUAAAUCAUAAUUUUUUUUGCUUGUUAAGUUUAAAAUCGUGUUUUGUAAGAAAAUAUACAUUAGUCUUUGUCUCUCGAACAUUUCAAGUUAAAAGGUAUUUAAACCAAAUAUCAAAAAGGCCAGAAAAAACUCGCAUGUUCCCUGGAUUAUUCCUUGGCAUUUGCAUGAACUAUAUAGUGUCUAUAUAUCCUUGUGUUUGUGUUUGNNNNNNNNNNNNNNNNNNNNNNNNNNNNNNNNNNNNNNNNNNNNNNNNNNNNNNNNNNNNNNNNNNNNNNNNNNNNNNNNNNNNNNNNNNNNNNNNNNNNGCAAGCGCGACCCCGAAGACGAGCCCGUCUCAGCCUCCGAGGAAUCGGGCGACGAGGAGGUAAAGCGCCCAAGCCCUCGCGUUUUCCUUAACCGCCACGCGGAUCCGCGGAAUCCUCAUCGGCAGGUGGUUUUAUCUGGUCCGCAGCAGGAUGUUUCCUCGUCGUCGGGGUCGGAGUCGGAGUCGGAGAACGACGAGUUAACGGACCGGGAGAGGAAGCUGGAGCGCGUGCUCGCCGACGUGCCCUUCGGGGAGCUGCAGCGGGCGCGUGCCGACGGGUCGCUCGGGGCUCGGGGUGUUUCUGCCGCCGCCGCCGCGCAGAAGAAGGCUCGCAGGGAGAGCAGGAAGAGGUCCGGUUCCAUGCCGUGCCGGUUCCUGUUUAGGAGUAUUAGCCAAUUUGGGGAGGUGAAUGUUUUUGCUGAUGUGUUCAUCUGGUUUUCGACAGGCCCAUGGAGAUUAGCACGAAUGUACGACCGCCUAGACUCAGGGAGGUGAUUCAGGUUCCCAAGAAGGUCAGUUGCUUAUGCAAUUCAUUUCAUAUUUAGCGUGUUUCUGGGAGGGUAGAUCCAAUUCGAUUGGAUCUGUAGUACUUCGUAUUUUUGUAGUAGAUACGAACUCCCUCCGUCCUAAAAUAAGUGUCUUAAGCUUAAUAUAAUUUUGUACUAUCACUAGUACAAAGUUGAAACAGUUAUUUUGGGACGGAGGUUAGUAUAUGAUAAGCACACCCAUAGUUCAAUUAGAACCUUUGCGAGUUCAGUCUGUCCAUUUUAUUGUUUCAAGGCUUCAAAAGCUUUUCUCAACGACUGUGUGAAGACGGGAAAUCUCGACCCGAAAGAGGUNNNNNNNNNNNNNNNNNNNNNNNNNNNNNNNNNNNNNNNNNNNNNNNNNNNNNNNNNNNNNNNNNNNNNNNNNNNNNNNNNNNNNNNNNNNNNNNNNNNNUCAAACGGGUUUAAAUAUUUUCUUUUGAAUUGGCGACCAAUUCAAGAAAAGACGAACAUAAUUUUUGAUGUUGGAGGAUUUUAUUUUAAAUUCACAAACAGUUUUUGAAACGCAUGAAGUUUUUCUGAAUAAAAAACAUUUUUAUAAAUCAGUAAUAUAUUUAUUAAAUUCAUGGACAUUGUUUUGGAGUUUGCAAAAAAAAUAUAUAAAUCCGGCGCUUUUUUGAAUCCUAUUUUUAAUUCAAAAUAGAAAUUCAUCAGCAUUUUAAUUCAAAGUUCCUAUUUCUUAAUAUGCAAAAGUUUUUGUAAUUCUAAAUUAUUUAAAUUAUAAAUAAACAGAAAUGGAACGGAAAAUUUUAAAUAAAAAAAAGAAACUAUCAAAACAGGCAUUAGCUAUUUUUAAAAUUUUAGGACAUUUUUUAAAUGUAUUAACAUAUUUUGAAUUAGAAAGCAUUUUGUUAAAUGCCUUUAAUAAUUUUUAAUACAUGGAAUUGUAUUUGGGACCAUGGACUUUUUUAUUGUACAAACAUUUUUCUAAAAUUGCAAACAUUUUAUUGUAUAUGCGAGCAUUUUUUACAAAACUCCGAGCAGUUUUUGAAGUCAUAAAUAAUUUAGUUUUUUAAAUAUAUUGAUUUAUAAUUUUCAGUUUAUUAAAAUUUUAAGGAUUAUUUGAAGUUCUAAAUUAUUUAAAAUAAAAAAAUAAAAUGGAACUGAAAAUAAAUAAAUAAAAGGAACUAAAAGCAGGAGCCUGUGCAUGGGCCGGCCCAUACGGUGUGCUGGAUAUUCUCCUAUCAUGCAGAGCGUAAUAUAGGAGGUUUUUACAUGGGCCGGCCCAGUCCAAGAUUUUUCGCUUUGUGAAACGUUUUCUAUUACUUACCGGAGGCAUGGUUGGUAAUUUAUGCAAACUUUAAGGGUAAUUUUCAAGACGGACGACCAGAAACCGUAUUUGCUUUAUUAUUAGGGAGAGAUGUGCAGCUUGUAUUAUCUGGGGACAAAAGCCAUCUAUAUACCUACUAAUAAAAGAAAUAUGUAUUCUUAGUCCGUCGUAAUAUUUUUUUUAAAAAAACCUUCUAUUUUAUGGUAAUUGAACUCGCGGUCCUUAACUUUAAUGGAAAAAAACGUUUUGUCUUUCUAUAAAAAAAACCAAGGCAACUUCGCUCCGGCGCGUUCCGGCGCUCCUCCUCCACCUCCCCUCCCCCUCCUCCUCCCCUCGCGCGUGGAUUAGUCUGCCGCCCCUCCUCCUCCUCCCCNNNNNNNNNNNNNNNNNNNNNNNNNNNNNNNNNNNNNNNNNNNNNNNNNNNNNNNNNNNNNNNNNNNNNNNNNNNNNNNNNNNNNNNNNNNNNNNNNNNNAACCAUCAUCAUCAUCCAUCAUGUCUGAUCUGCCCAACCCAUGUGAAGUUAACGUCGAUAAUAUCAUUAAGCCCAAGCUUGAUGAACUAUCGGCCGAUCAUCGUCAAGCCUAUGAGGAGUACAAGAAGGAACACGAGGAGAAGGAGCUGCAGGAGUUCCUUGCAAACUUCUAGAAGGAUCGCCAAGGCAAUAUCACUCCGAUUGGAGAAAUCAAGUUCCCUCCUCUUCAAGCCGAGCAGGUUAAACCCCGUGUGAGUACUAGCUUUUCUCCUGAGCAAUGGGCUGAGAUUGAGAGUCGUAUUGUCGAUGGUAACAAUCUGGUCUAUCAAUCUUUCUUAGAAAAUACCACUGCUCAGAAAAUAUGCCUUAAUCAUCUGCUCAUAAUGUUGGUAUGCGGAGUGGUGCAGAAAACCCUAAUCUAUCUAUACCUAUUGCAUCGGCACCUACCAUGCCGAUGAAUUAUUAUCCUUCCCAAACAAACUAGAUUGCGGCUGCACCCAUUAGUCCUAUCAUGAGCAUACCAAGUUCGGUGGCAACACCAAGCCAAGCGUUACCUAUCGGUGCAAACGUUGCUAGAGCUUUGCCAAAUUAUGGUUCGGCAUAUAUACCACAGUUCCUACCUGCCGCUAGUAAUCCUACUCCUCCUAUGCCACUGCAGCAAACUUCAUUGUCCACUACGGAUGAUGCUCUAGCUAGUUUUAGAGAGGAGAUGGCUAAAAUGCUUCGAGAAAACUUUGGUGUUGAAUUACCUAGGAAUCGGAUUUAUCAAAAACCAUAUCCCGAGUACUUUGAUGCAAUAUAGUGCCCUCUAGGAUAUAAAAUCCCAGAUUUUGUUAAAUUUAAUGGAGAGGACACAAAAACCACAUGGGAGCAUGUUAGUCAAUACUUAGACCAGUUAGGUGAAGCGGGUUCACUAAAUGAAUUGAAAGUGCGUUUGUUUCCUUUGUCCUUAACCGGUACUGCAUUUUCAUGGUUUUCUUCCUUACCACAUGGCUCUAUCCGUGUAUGGUCGCAGGUAGAGCAGAAAUUUCAUGAUCAUUUUUAUACCGGCGACAAUGAACUUAAGUUACCGCAUCUUACAUCGGUUAAACAAAAGCAUGAUGAAUCGGUCUCCGAUUACGUCAAGAGAUUCAGAGAUACAAAAAACCGAUGUUAUAGUUUGGUGAUAACCGAGAGAGACUUAGCAGAUCUUGUGCUUAAUGGUUUGAAAACUCACAUAAAAUAAAAUCUAGAAGGCUAUGAAUUUUUAAGUAUCAACCAAGUCUUGCAAAGGGCUUUGGCUCAGGAAAGCCGAAGUAAAGAUCCUAAAGAAGUGCAUAGAUAUAAAACUGAUUGUCCAAAGAUGAAUAUGGUUGAAUAUGAUAGUGAUCACUCAGACGAAGAGGGUGACAUCUAUGCUACUGAAUUUGUUUAUCCAUCAAAUACCAAACCAUUUAAUUGCAAUGAUCUGAAACCGAUUCAUAAGAAUCGUGAUGAAGAGAUGAAGUUCACCUUUAACAUUGCUAAGUGUGAACAAAUAUUUGAUGCUUUGCUGCAAGCUAAGAUUACAAGAAUAUCUCAUACUUUACCACCGUUUGAAGAGAUGAAACGACGUGCUUAUUGCAAGUAUCAUAAUUCUUUUUCUCGUGCUACUAACGAUUGCAAUGUUUUUCGACGACAGAUACAAUCGGCCAUUAACGACGAACGAUUGAACUUUUCUGAGAUGCAAGUUGAUAAACAGUCUUUUCCUAUGAACACCAUAGAUUUGGAGGGGAAGAAGCUGCUCAUCCGGCUGGAGGUAGCCGAAUCUGCUAAUAAGUCCAAUGUUGUCAUAGGUGAGCCCAGGAAAAGCAAGGAGGGCGACAAGGUCUUGGGGAGACAAGUUAUGCUUGACAAACAGCCUAGUGGCAAGGAGAUAAUUAAGAUCACCAUCCAUAAUCCUACACUCGGGGGGGGGNNNNNNNNNNNNNNNNNNNNNNNNNNNNNNNNNNNNNNNNNNNNNNNNNNNNNNNNNNNNNNNNNNNNNNNNNNNNNNNNNNNNNNNNNNNNNNNNNNNNUUCCUAUUUAAAACAAACAGAGACAAAACUAAAUGCAUAGGCAAAUCUAUUGAGACUAAAAAUAAAACAAAAAUGCCCCUAGUCAUAAGGAAUUAUGAUCUAUUUGAAAAAAUGGAAAAGGAAUAUUUGGAGCAAAUAAAUAUUUACCAAACAGAAUUAAAUCCACUGUUUUGUGAAUAUUUGCACCCCUCAAACAAGGUUUCAAAUCACUAAAAUCAUAGCAUCACAUCCACCACAAAUCAUACUAAAGCAUGGGCAUUUUUGAAACAGGGAUGGAGCAAGUGAAUAUAGAGCUUGAGAUAAAUAGAGAGGGGGAAGUUUUUGGAACCUAGCAUAGUUGCAUCCUACUAACAAUUGCACCACUCCACACACUUCACAUAGAACCACAUAUCAUCACAUGUCAUCACACCACAUACACAUGAUCACAAGGAAACAAACACAAAUAGGCAUGGAUGAAUGGAUUCAUGAAUGCAAUGGGAAACAAGACAAGGUGACAUCACAUGAAAUAACACAUGCAUUGAACUCUCAAGACACUCACUGGAUGGACCCACAUACAGANNNNNNNNNNNNNNNNNNNNNNNNNNNNNNNNNNNNNNNNNNNNNNNNNNNNNNNNNNNNNNNNNNNNNNNNNNNNNNNNNNNNNNNNNNNNNNNNNNNNGUUGGUGCCACGAACCGGUACCAAAGGCCCGUGUGCUGCCUGCGUCGCGGCCAAAGUUUAGUCCCACCUCGCUAGUUGAGAGGGGCGCGCACUGGUUUAUAUGCCCCACUGCCACACCCCUCUCGAGCUCCUCUCCGCUGCAGGCUUACGGGCCUACUUGCUAAUGCUUUGCCUGAUGGGCCUUCUUGGCCUACUGCGGGCCUGAAUCCUGGCCCAUGGAUGGGUUUCUAGUCGUAUUCACGCCGUGGCGGCCUAGUUGGUGGCAAUUUUUUUAUUUUUUUCCCAGUUUUUUUGUUUUCUUUUUUGCUUUAUUUAUUUUAUUUCUUUUUUGCAUUGGUACCGGUUGUCUGCCACAGCCAUGGUGUGGUUGAAUGUUUAGUCUCACCUCGCCAAGCGAAGGACUUCCGAGCCUGUUUAUAAGCUCCGCCGCGGCUGCAACGUGGAGAGAACAUCUAUUUUUUAAUUUUUUUCCAUUAAUUUUAGUUUUGUUUUUUCUUUAUUUUAGUUUUGUUUAUUUUUUUAGUUAGCUUAUUUUGUUUUGUUUCUCCUUACAACAAAAUACUUAUUAUUUUUAUUUUUUUUGUUUCUAAUUACUUAUUUAUUUUAUUUCAUGAUAAUUAUUUUUGCCAUUAAAGUUUCUAACAAAAAAAGUUCUUUAUGAAAAUUCUUUUUCCUUUUAAUGAUUUUUAACAGAAAAUACUUUGAUAAUUUUAGUUGCAUUUAUUGAUUAUUUUUCUUUUAUUUUUUCUUUUGUUUAUUUUGUUUUGUUUCUACUUAAAUUCAAAGUGCUAGCUAGCUUAUUUUGUUUUGUUUCUACUUACAACAAAAUACUUAUUUAUUUUAUUUUGUUUUGUUUAUAAUUACUUAUUAAUUUUAUUUUAUGAUAAUUCUUUUUGCUAUUAAAGUUUCUCUCAUAUAUGGUGGACACUCCCUCACCUGAUUUUUCGACCGUCGAUGAUGGUCGCUAUUCCUUCUUCCCCUAAUGCAUAACAAAUAUCUAGUACAAGGAGAAGAAGGAAGAGCGACUCCCAUAACAACAGCCGACAUUCUUCUUCUCUCAUAUGCAUGAGCUAGAGUGGCAAGAGCAUGGCAUGCAUGCUCACACCUCAACACCCAAAAACACAAGAGAGGGGUGGGAGGGGGAGGUUUUAUAUAGGCAAUCCUUUAGUCCUGGUUCGUAUCUAAAACCGGGACUAAUAACAUAUGCGGCAUGCCACGUGUUUGCGCGGCACGCCACGUGGUUUCGCUUGAUCUUUAGUCCCGAUUUUUGUCCCGAACCGGGACUAAUAACAUAUGCGGCACGCCAUGUGUUUGCGCGUCACGCCACGUGGUUUCGCUGGAUCUUUAGACCCGGAAACUCGUGUGUUACAAAGGGAUUUCAUUUUUUUGAACUUAUUUGAACUCCAUAGUUUUUCUGUGUUCAAAAUGCACCAUUCAAAGCCACAUCAUCAAUUUACAACCCUUUCUGAAUUCAUUUGUCAUUUUUCAUGCAUUUACUGAUUAUUAUGAGCUAUAAGACCAUGAAAUUGAAAAACAUUUGAAAUGAACUCUGAUAAGGUUCCAAGUUGGCAUGGUAUCAUCAUUUCACCCACAUAGCAUGUGCGAGAAAGUUGAGAGGGUUACGGCAAAAACUGGAUGCACUUCGUGUACAAACGGACAAUCUCUUUCGAAGUAUCAGGGUUUCAUACGGAAACUCGUCUGUUACAAAGGGAUUUCAUUUUUUUGAACUUAUUUGAACUCCAUAGUUUUUUUGUGUUCAAAAUGCACCAUUCAAAGCCACAUCAUCAAUUUAUAACCCUUUCUAACUUCAUUUGUUCUUUUUCAUGCAUUUACUGAUUAUUUUGAGCUAUAAGACCAUGAAAUUGAAAAGCAUUUGAAAUGAACUCUGAAAAGGUUCCGAGUUGGCAUGGUAUCAUCAUUUCACCCACAUAGUAUGUGCGACAAAGUUGAGAGGGUUACGACAAAAACUGGAUGCACUUCGUGUACAAAACGGACAAUCUCUUUCGAAGUAUCACGGUUUCAUACAGAAACUCGUCUGUUACAAAGGGAUUUCAUUUGUUUGAACUUAUUUGAACUCCAUAGUUUUUCUGUGCUCAAAAUGCACCAUUCAAAGCCACAUCAUCAAUUUACAACCCUUUCUGACUUCAUUUGUUAUUUUUCAUGCAUUUAGUGAUUAUUUUGAGCUAUAAGACCAUGAAAUUGAAAAGCAUUUCGAAUAAACUCUGAAAAGGUUCCAAGUUGGCAUGGUAUCAUCAUUUCACCCACAUAGCAUGUGCGAGAAAGUUGAGAGGGUUACGACAAAAACUGGAUGCACUUUGUGUACAAAACGGACAAAUCUCUUUCGAAGUAUCAGGGUUUCAUACGGAAACUCGUCUGUUGCAAAGGGAUUUCAUUUUUUUGAACUUAUUUGUGUUGGGGAACGACGCAUGGGAAACAAAAAUUUCCUACGCGCACGAAGACCUAUCAUGGUGAUGUCCAUCUACGAGAGGGGAUGAGUGAUCUACGUACCCUUGUAGAUCGCACAGCAGAAGCGUUAGAGAACGCGGUUGAUGUAGUGGAACGUCCUCACGUCCCUCGAUCCGCCCCNNNNNNNNNNNNNNNNNNNNNNNNNNNNNNNNNNNNNNNNNNNNNNNNNNNNNNNNNNNNNNNNNNNNNNNNNNNNNNNNNNNNNNNNNNNNNNNNNNNNGUCAAGUUCAACGGCGUCUCCCACGAGAUCUACAUCAACUCCCAGGCAUCCUUCGGUAAUGCACGCGAAUCAAAUCAAAUCAAUUGCUUUGCCUUGCUUCGCCCGCUGGAUUUUUUGAUUUGAUCUGACUCGACUCGAGCUAGCUGCUGAUUGUGGGCGUGACGGUGAUUGGUGGUGCAGGCGAGCUGAAGAAGAUGAUGUCGGACAAGACCGGCCUGCACCACGAGGACCAGAAGGUGCUCUACAAGAGCAAGGAGAUGGACUCCAAGGCCUUCCUCGACAUGUCCGGCGUCAAGGACCGCUCCAAGCUGCUGCUGCUCGAGGACCCCGACGCGCAGGCCAAGCGCCUCAUCGAGCAGCGCCGCUCCGACAAGGCCCAGCGCGCCGCCAAGUCCAUCUCCCGCAUCAGCCUCGACGUCGACAAGCUCGCCACCAAGGUACGACCACUCUGCUCGUGCUCCUUCCCUUGUUCACUUUCGCCGUCCGCCGANNNNNNNNNNNNNNNNNNNNNNNNNNNNNNNNNNNNNNNNNNNNNNNNNNNNNNNNNNNNNNNNNNNNNNNNNNNNNNNNNNNNNNNNNNNNCGCUGUGCUGAUCGAAUUUGGGUGGCGGUGCACUGCAGGUGUCUGCGCUGCAGACCAUCGUGGGCAAGGGCGGGAAGGUGGUGGAGGCCGACGUGGUCGCCCUCACCGAGGCGCUUAUGACGGAGCUGGUCAAGCUCGACGCCAUCGCCGCCGACGGCGAGGUCAAGGUGCAGCGGCGAAUGCAGGUCAGCACGGCAACCCGGCCGAAUUUAAUUCCCCGCCGAUUCCGUUGACGAGCCCAUUAAUUAGCCGCGGGGCGGGCGAGCUGAAUCCGUGCCGGCUCUAAAUCUCUCUCUCUUUGGUGGUGCAGGAGAAGCGGGUGCAGAAGUACGUGGAGGCGCUUGACGCCAUCCGCGCCAAGAACACGGCCAACGGCCACGGNNNNNNNNNNNNNNNNNNNNNNNNNNNNNNNNNNNNNNNNNNNNNNNNNNNNNNNNNNNNNNNNNNNNNNNNNNNNNNNNNNNNNNNNNNNNNNNNNNNNGUCCCUCGAUCCGCCCCGCGAACCGUCCCGCGAUCAGUCCCACGAUCUAGUGCCGAACGGACGGCACCUCCGCGUUCAGCACACGUAUAGCUCGACGAUGAUCUCGGCCUUCUUGAUCCAGCAAGAGAGACGGAGAGGUAGAUGAGUUCUCCGGCAGCGUGAUGGCACUCUGGAGGUUGGUGGUGAUCUUAUCUCAGCAGGGCUCCGCCCGAGCUCCAUAGAAACGCGAUCUAGAGGUAAAACCGUGGAGAUAUGUGGUCGGGCUGCCGUGGCAAAGUUGUCUCAAAUCAGCCCUAAAACCUCCGUAUAUACAGGGGGAAGAGGGGGAGACUUGCCUUGGGGUCCAAGGACCCCCAGGGGGUUCGGCCGAGCCAAAGGGGGUAACCCUCCCCUUCCAAACCGAGUCCAACUAGGUUUGGAAGGAGGAGUCCUUCCCCCUUUUCCCACCUCCUCUUUUUUUUUCUCUUUGAUUUUCUUCCUAUGGCGCAUAGGGCCUUCUUGGGCUGUCCCACCAGCCCACUAAGGGCUGGUGCGCCACCCCCAAGGCCUAUGGGCUUCCCCGGGGUGGGUUGCCCCCCCCCCCCCNNNNNNNNNNNNNNNNNNNNNNNNNNNNNNNNNNNNNNNNNNNNNNNNNNNNNNNNNNNNNNNNNNNNNNNNNNNNNNNNNNNNNNNNNNNNNNNNNNNNNNNNNNNNNNNNNNNNNNNNNNNNNNNNNNNNNNNNNCAUUCCCGGUAACUGCGAAAUCCUUCUGGUAAUCAAAUGAGGUCAUCCUAUAUAUCAAUCUUCGUUUCCGGACCAUUCCGUAAACCCUCGUGACGUCCGUGAUCUCAUCCGGGACUCCGAAGAACAUUCGGUAACCAACCAUAUAACUCAAAUACGCAUAAAACAACGUCGAACCUUAAGUGUGCAGACCCUACGGGUUCGAGAACUAUGUAGACAUGACCCGAGAGACUCCUCGGUCAAUAUCCAAUAGCGGGACCUGGAUGCCUAUAUUGGAUCCUACAUAUUAUACGAAGAUCUUAUCGUUUGAACCUCAGUGCCAAGGAUUCAUAUAAUCCCGUAUGUCAUUCCCUUUGUCCUUCGGUAUGUUAAUUGCCCGAGAUUCGAUCGUCAGUAUCCGCAUACCUAUUUCAAUCUCGUUUACCGGCAAGUCUCUUUACUCGUUCCGUAAUACAAGAUCCCGCAACUUACACUAAUUCACAUUGCUUGCAAGGCUUGUGUGUGAUGUUGUAUUACCGAGUGGGCCCCGAGAUACCUCUCCGUCACACGGAGUGACAAAUCCCAGUCUUGAUCCAUACUAACUCAACGAACACCUUNNNNNNNNNNGUCACAUUGCUUGCAAGGCUUGUGUGUGAUGUUGUAUUAUCGAGUGGGCCCCGAGAUACCUCUUCGUCACAUGGAGUGACAAAUCCCAGUCUUGAUCCAUACUAACUCAACGAACACCUUCGGAGAUACCUGUAGAGCAUCUUUAUAGUCACCCAGUUAUGUUGCGACGUUUGAUACACACAAAGCACUCCUCCGGUGUGAGUGAGUUAUAUGAUCUCAUGGUCAUAGGAACAAAUACUUGACACGUAGAUAACAGUAGCAACUAAAUGACACGAUCAACAUGGUACGUCUAUUAGUUUGGGUCUAGUCCAUCACAUGAUUCUCCUAAUGAUNNNNNNNNNNCGUUGCAACGUUUGAUACACACAAAGCACUCCUCCGGUGUUAGUGAGUUAUAUGAUCUCAUGGUCAUAGGAACAAAUACUUGACACGCAGAAAACAGUAGCAACAAAAUGACACGAUCAACAUGCUACGUCUAUUAGUUUGGGUCUAGUCCAUCACAUGAUUCUCCUAAUGAUGUGAUCCCGUUAUCAAGUGACAACACUUGCCUAUGGUCAGGAAACCUUGACCAUCUUUGAUCAAUGAGCUAGUCAACUAGAGGCUUUACUAGGGACAGUGUUUUGUCUAUGUAUCCACACAUGCACUGUGUUUCCAAUCAAUACAAUUAUAGCAUAGAUAAUAAACGAUUAUCAUGAACUAAGAAAUAUAAUAAUAACUAAUUUAUUAUUGCCUCUAGGGCAUAUUUCCAACAGUGACCUCACCCAGUGAUAGAAGGGGUAGCGAGGCACGCAUCGUGUUGUUGCCAUCAAGGGUAAAANNNNNNNNNNNNNNNNNNNNNNNNNNNNNNNNNNNNNNNNNNNNNNNNNNNNNNNNNNNNNNNNNNNNNNNNNNNNNNNNNNNNNNNNNNNNNNNNNNNNUGAUGUAAUUUUCUUUGACGGUGUGUUUGUCGAGAUCCGAUGAAUUGUGGAUUUGUGAUCAGAUUAUCUAUGAUAUAUAUUUGAGUCUUUGUUGAUUUCUUUUAUGCAUGAUUUGAUAUCCUUGUAAGUCUCUCNNNNNNNNNNGUUUGAUGGUGUGUUUGUCGAGAUCCGAUGAAUUGUGGAUUUGUGAUCAGAUUAUNNNNNNNNNNCGAGUCUUGGGUUUUGUUUGGCCAACUAGAUCUAUGAUUCUUGCAAUGGGAGAAGUGCUUGGUUUUGGGUNNNNNNNNNNUGAGUCUUGGGUUUUGUUUGGCCAACUAGAUCUAUGAUUUUUGCAAUGGGAGAAGUGCUUGGUUUUGGGUUCUACCAUGUGGUGACCUUUCCCAGUGACAGUAGGGGCAGCAAGGCACAUAUUAAGUAGUUGCCGUCAAGGGUAACAAGACGGGCUCUAUCGUUGAUAUGAGAUUGUCCGUCUACAUCAUGUCAUCUUGAUUAAGGCGUUACUUUGUUCUUUUGGACUUAAUACACUAGAUGCAUGCUGGAUAGCGGUCGACNNNNNNNNNNNNNNNNNNNNNNNNNNNNNNNNNNNNNNNNNNNNNNNNNNNNNNNNNNNNNNNNNNNNNNNNNNNNNNNNNNNNNNNNNNNNNNNNNNNNCGCCGGGAGCGCCUGCCCCGGCAUCGGCGGCACGCUGUACCGCGCGCACGGGGCCAGCUGGCUCAGCUGCGCCCCGCAGGUGCCGCGCGGCGGCUGCGCCUUGGCCGCGCCGCCCAGGGUCACCAGCAGCAGGACCAGGAGGGCCGCCUGGCCCGUGGUCGCCGCCAUCGUCGUCGUCGCCGGCGGCUCGGUGCGCGCGCUGCGAGCUUGAGAGACGGAAAUGAGUUCCUGUGUGUGUGGUUGGCGGUGUGGUGGUGGUGCGGGAGCGCGUGGUUUUAUAGGUGGGGCGACGGAGGUGGGAGGCGGCGAGUCUUGCGUUGCUCACCUACGCUACGCAGGCAGCGGGCGGUGCUCGGAUCGGCGCCGGGCGGGAGGAGCGGGCCACGGCAAGCGUGUGAGGCACUGAGGCUGACCCGACCCAACUAAUAAGCCCAGCUCGGAGACCCGCUUCGUCCGUUUGAUCAUCGGGACAAAAAAACUUGGUUCAACGUAGAGACAUGUUUGGACCGGUGUCCUUUCACUAUCCGCGCCGAUCCAAUCUUUGACGAAUACCAGCAAACAUGUCUGUGUGUUACAGCAGGAGAAAAAAAAAUCAUCCCUAAUAGGCACUGGCCGAUACCAGUAAAUCCCUUGAAAUCUCCACACAACAAACAAUAUGAUAAGUGACGUUGCGUUAAACGUAAUGGUGGAUGAUUUUUGAAGUGUAUUCAAGGUGCUUUAAAAAAAAGUUAUGGACAUAAUUAAAUUUUUUGGAAAUUAACAUUAAGCCACUUGUUUACAUAAAGCUCAAAUCAUCAAUUUAGUGUACAACAUCGUAUAUUGGUUGGUUAUAUUGUGCAUGAUGUGAAAUAGGAUGACCGUGUACCUAUUGUAACCUUUAGCAUACAAAGUAGCUAGUAGAAAUCAACAUCCGCUAUGGUGCCAAUACUAUCUUUUACGAGAGUAUUAAACUAUCGUAUCUAUUCAAGUUAAAUGGAAUAAAAAAAAUAUGUAAUAGGCAUUUUCAAAAUACCCAAUAUAGAGAAGGUAUUAAUCAAGGUUGCAACAUAUAUUUUAUUUUAAAAAUGAGUAACAUGUAAGAUAAGAGUAUAUUUGAAAUCUACAUAUUCUUUUGAACAAUUAUCAUAUAUAACAUGUUAGAUUUGGAAUUAGGGUUUGAAAGAUAUGAAUAUCCUAAAAAGCAUUUGAAUUAGAAAAAAUAGCAUUUGAAUUAGAAAAAAUGAAAAAGGGGUAGCUGUUUUGAUGUGUUUAAUUUGGGACCGCACUGUAUAUAAACCGAAGUAAACGCCCCAUGUAGCAAAUUGAACUGUUUUUUUGUUUAUGAACGAUAUGAUGGGUAAUUUGUGUUAACUUUGGGAUAGUUCUAAUGACGAACUUGGCAGAAACAAUAACCUUUUUAUUAGUACGCAUAGAUGGGCUAGAAUGGGUUUCAAACAAACAGAAACGGACACUCCCGUCGUUUGCUGGUGCUCGCUUGUGUCCACCCUGGUCCCAAAGACCAGCGACCGCACCAGCCGGGGCUUUGCCUCCAUAAUGACGUGCACCGGCGCAUGCCACCUCUCUUUUUGAGUCAGUCGUUGUGUUAGGAUCUUGCCGGCGGGCCCGCGGCGCCGAUGAUUGGCCGAUCGUGGCCGCCAGACGCCACGUCGGGGUCCGACCACACAAGGGGGAGGAGCGGGGCACGACGAUUACCUCGCCAUGGAGGAAGGGGCGGGGCACAUAUAAAGGAUGGACGCGUUGAUGCGGAGGGAGAGGGUCAUGAACUUCGAAAACAUUUUUCUGUGCAAAUAAAUAUUGAAAAGGUACACAAUUUAUGAAAUGCAUGAAUAUUUUAUAAAGUGUGAGCACUUUUAGAAAAUUCUGAAUACUUUGAAAACCAAUCAAUUUUGAUAAAACGAUAACACUUUCUGAAACAUAUAUUUUAAAUCUAGAACAACAAAUUUAAAGUGCGAACAUUCUUUGAAAAUUAAAAAAAUGGUAACAAAAUUUGAAACCUGAGCAAACGUGUAAAGAAAUGUUUUUGACAUCUAAAAAAUAUCACAAGUUUAGAGAAAUGUACAUGGCAUUUCAAAAAAAUGUAUGUAUAAUGUAAAUAAUAUCCGUGUAAUUCUAACAAAUGUUUCUUCCAUUCAAAAAGAUGCAACAUUUCAAGAAUGUUCAAGAGUUUCAAAACAUGUGCUUGUAACAUUUUUAGAAAGAAGUGUAUACAAUGUAAAAAAGUUAGCGUGACGUAAAUAAUGUGUCAUACCCUUAGAAAAUUAUACCCGACAUGUGUUUGAAAUUUUAUAAAUGUGUAACAAUGUAAAAAAAUGUUUGUAUAGUUUUACAAGAUGUCUGUAUAGUUUUAUAAAUGUCUAUCGUCGUUAAGAAAUAAAAAAAUAUAUUUGAAAAAUAUUACUGUGUAUUCAUUUCUUUAAACAUGUAUCUAAAAAGAUAUAAAUAAAGUAUCAAAAAAUAUUUGUGCUAAAAAUUUGCAAUGUGUACUGACAAUAAUUAGACAUGUGUAAAAUAUAUAAUUGGUUACCGUACAGAAACAAAACAAAAGCGAAAAAAAAGAAAACACUAUGAAGAAAAUCAAGAAAGAAACAAAAGAAAUCAAAAGUAUAACGAGAAAGUAAAACCAGAUAAUGCCAGUGAAAAAAUAAAGCAUAACGAACAAAAAAUCAAAGAAAAAAAAGAAAACAAGACCAGCACGAGAGACUGUGCCAAUGGGCUGGCGCAGUUCAGCGAAUACCGGCUAAAUUCUAUCAACGUUUAAAAUAGACCGGGAUCAAGGAUUUUGGUUUGCUGAUUCCAGGAAUUAAGAGUUCAGAGUUUGAUUUAGCUUCGGCCUAUAUAUAUGAAAGGUUUGUUUUGGAUUUUUUUCCUUUUUCUUUUUGCUAUACUCGAGCGGUCUGGUGUUGUGGUGCACGUUGGCUUCUCCUGCCCAGGAAUCACCUCGCCAACAAGAUCCAAAAUGUCCUAAUAAAGAAAAUAAAAUAAAAAGAACAUGUUUCUGUCAAAAUAGGUAGCACUGUUGGGUAAAAAGACGCACGCCUUCGUUGCUCUCGUGAGGCAGGCGAUUGGGGUUUUCGUUGCCUCCCGUCGCAUAGCCGUCGAGCUGCCUUGUCUUCUGUGGCCUUAGGAUCAUGUAGACGCGAUCGAUCUCGGUCCUUGCUGGGGGGGGGGAGGUGUUUCAUUUUUAGAGUUUGUUUGAGUUUUGAUAGGGUUUGUGUCUUGCUCAGAAAGAUGAGGCGGUGCGUGUUUCUUGGAGAUGGAAUAAGUUUUUCCUCAUAUAGCCCCAGAUGAAAUAAGUUUUUCCUCAUAUAGCCCCCACCCGUUCUGAUGAUGCUUCUAGCAUCGCCGGAGGGUGUAUGAAGAUUUAUCUCGGACGGAUCUCAGGAGAUUCAGUCGACGUUUGACUUUGAUGGAUCCGAUCGGAUCCAUUUUUCGUUCGUCUAAGUUGAUGUGUCGGCAGGUUGGAUUUUUGGUGCUUAGUGUUGUUUUCAUACGGGGCGCUCACUAGCAAAGCCAUUGGGCCAGCCCAUGUAAAGCGAACAGUGAUUGAGCUGCCCAAUCUGAUUUUGCGAUUUUUGCACUCAUAUUUUCCCCUGAAUCUAUCAAUCAUUUUUUCAAAUACCACUCAAUUUUUUUCAGAAUCCACAAACUAUUUUUGCAAAUUUGUGAACAGUUUUUAAUCCACGAACUUUUUCCACAAAAAUCAUGAACUUUUUUCAAAUUCGCAAACACUCUCAAAUCAGUGAACUUUUCUUCAAAUUCACGAGAUUUUUCCAGAUCCAUGAGUUAUUUUUUCAAAUUCUCUAAGACUUAUAAAAUAAGUGAACUUUUUUAAAGUUCACUAAUACUUAUCCAAUCAGUGAAGUUUUUCUAACUCAUGAGUUUUUUUUCAAACCACAAUCUUUUUAUGAAUUCGCAACAAUAAAUUCAUGAACACUUUCCAAAUCAGGGAUGGUUAUUUUCAAAAUUCACAAACGUUUUAUGAAUUCACAAGUUUUAUUUUUCAAAUCCAUGAGUUUUUUGGAAUUUGCAAACUUUUAAAAAA
rnacentral:lncRNA from 1 species